UAAAUAAUAAUAUUGGAGACUUGGAGAAUGUGUGAGAGAGAAAAAUAUCAAAUGUGAAGCCAAGAAAAGUGAUGUUGAAGGGUUUGGAGGAAAUAAAAGAUAUUUUAGAUUUUAGAUAUGGGUACAAAGAUGGCCACUGAGAAAGGUUCCUCUAGGUUUUUCUCCUCCCACCAUCAUCCCGUCGUUUUAUUCUUGUGGGAAAUAUCUCUCUUUCUUUUUUUAUAUUUAUUUUUUGUUUUAAUUUUGAUAGUAAUUUUAAAAAAUAUUUUUAAUAUUUAAAAAAAUUUAUUAUUUAAAUAUUAAAAAUACUAUAAAUAUUUUUAAAAUCAAUCUUAAACACAUUCUAAGUAAAAUUUGAUUUUAUUAAUUUUUACAUAAUUGAUUAGUCUAACACAAUUUUAACCUUUCUCAUUAUUUUUUCUUUUGUAGUUGGAUUUGAUAGAGAAUGGUUUAUGCAAAAGGAAAUUUCAUUUUAACUAUAUAUAUAUAUAUAUAAUCAUAAGCUAUUCUCUUAAAAUUAGUUUAGCUUUUAGUUUCCCAAACUCAUUCUAAAUAAUUAUUUAAGACUAUGUUUGAUUUAAGAAAAUAAAAUUAAAAAUAAUUCAACUUCCUUAAACCAUGCAUCUCAUAUAAUUUUCAUUUUAUUAAUAAAAUAUACAUAUUUUAAUAUGUAUCAGACCAGUACUAGUGAACUUAUCAACAUUAACUUUUCAUAUUUUUAAUUAAAUAAUUAAUUUUUGACCGGGGCCUGAAAAUUGGAGCUGGCCCGAGAUUGCGAUCAUGGAGCCAUGGAGGGAAGGUGGAGGGUUUGUUUGGCCCAGAUAUUCAGCUUUAAAAAAUAAAACCACGGUACAAGUCCACUUCCACUCGCUUCCCGCUCUCAAAAACCCUCCAUCUCCAUUUUUGAAACACUCCGGCUGAGAAACGGAGAAAUGGUGCGUGGUGUGAGAUCUGAGAUUCCGAUGCCAGGGUCUCGAUCCAAGUUCAAACGCAUUGUCUCUCGCCACCAAGCAAUGAAAUCAACAUUUCUUCAGCUCAAAUCUCAAAUCCAAAUGAGCCUGCUCCAGGUACAUUCACAUAGAUAUAUGUUUUCUCGCAAAUUGCAAGCUCCAUUGUGAUCACUUUCAGAGCUGUUUGGCUCUAUCUCCAAUUUUUGCAGGUCGAAGAAGUAUUCACAUCUCUGUCCGUUCCUUUGAUGAGGCUUGUCGGUUUGAAGACGGCCGAAAUGGCUGAAGAGGGAAGAUUCAUCACCAUUCUCACGAAGGCUGAUUCGUUUGAUCACGUAUGCGUAUCUCUCUGUUUUUUAAAACCUACGAUUUUGAGAUGUGCUUCCAAUUCUGGUUAAGUUUCCGGCAGGGAUGCUGGAGCGAUGGAGUUGCAGCCGGACAUCUGACUAGAUCGCCGUCUGCCAGCGAUGGAGGUCAUCGGAAUUAUCAGAUUCGUAAAUUGGAGGUAAAAUUUGAAAUCUUGAAAAAUGUACAAGGUUUUGUGAUUGAUGAUCAGAUGAACUCAAUCUUAUGUGAGGUUUUCAAUUUUUGAAAGAAAGGAAGAUUUCACCUUCCGUUUUCUUCCACUUCUUUGUUUUUAUUCAAUUCCUUCCCACUUCAAACAUUUGGAAUGGGCCACCCCCGUUGAUAUGCCGUGGCCCUGUGGGCCUCUCUGCUUUACCACUUUGCUUGGCCGGAGUAUAAUGUCAUCCACACUUGAAUCCUGUGUGACCAGGGGGAAAAUGAAACAUUUGGUGACUUCAAGAUUAAGAAUAUUUGUCAAACCACCACACUUGAGAAGGUGGUGAGAGUUUUCUAUUUAUAAUCAUUUACAGAAUAUUACAAAUCAAAUAAUAUCAAACUGAUUACAAAAGAAAUGGAAAGUAGGAAAUAAUAUCAAACUAAUUACAAAAGAAUAGCAUGUAAUCAAGGGUCAAAUAUGAUACAUAUGGUAAAUUGUAAUGGAAAGGCUAAGUAUCCUUAACACCCCCCGCAAGCUGAGCGUCGGAUUGGAACGAAUGUGAAGCUUGGAUCGGAAAAAUUCAAAGAGAGGUCGAGAAACACUUUUGGUGAAGAUGUCAGCAACCUGGAGGUGGGAGGGCACAUACUCGGUGCGAAGUUUGCCAGCGACAACGAGUUCCCGAAGGAAGUGGUAAUCUAAUUCAACAUGCUUGGCCCGCUUGUGAGAAACGGGAUUGGAACUCAAAAAGAUAGCACUUUUGUUGUCACAUAAGAGUAGGGGUUGCAGUGGAAUGGGGACCUUAAGGUCAUGCAAAAGAUGCGUAAGCCAAAGAAGUUCAGCAGCAGUCAUAGCAAGGGCACGAUACUCAGAUUCACAGCUAGAGCGUGAGACAGUAGGUUGCUUCUUUGCACUCCAAGAUACUAGAUUGUUACCAAGAUAAAUAGAGUAGCCGGAUGUAGAACGACGAGUAUCGGGACAGCCAGCCCAAUCAGCAUCCGAAUAAGCUACUAGCGCACUAGGAAUAGUGGAUGGACGAAAGGUAAGGCCAAAGUGGAGUGUACCCUUAACAUAGCGAAGAAUACGCUUGACAGCAAGAAAAUGAUCUAUAGUAGGGGCGUGUAAAAAUUGACUGACAGAAUUGACAGCAUGGGCAAUAUCGGGACGCGUAAUGGUCAAGUACUGAAGGGCGCCAACAAGAGAUCGAUAGAGAGUAGGAUUAGAGAAAGGAGAACCAGCAACAGUCAGGUGUUGGGAAACAACCAUGGGGGUGUGAACAGGUUUGCUGUCGAGCAACUGAGCACGAGUAAGAAUAUCUCGAGCAUAUUUUAACUGACUGAUAAAGAGACCAUCAGGAGUGGGCGAAGCUUCAAGACCAAGAAAGUAACUGAGGGAGCCCAAAUCCUUGGUAGCAAACUCAGAAUGAAGCUUGCGAGUAAAACUGUCAAGAAGUGAUGGGUUGUUGCCAGUAACAAUAAUGUCAUCAACAUAAAGAAGCAAAUAAAUAAGGCUAGACUGCUGAUGAAAGACAAAAAGAGAGGUGUCAGCGCGGCUACAAGAAAAACCAAGUGUAAGAAGAAAUGAGCUGAAACGUUGAAACCAGGCACGAGGAGCUUGCUUUAAACCAUAGAGGGCUUUCUUUAACAGGCAAACAUGAGUGGGAAAACGAGGAUCAAUAUACCCAGGAGGUUGUUCCAUAUAAACAUGUUCAGUAAGAGUGCCAUUGAGGAAAGCAUUCUUGACAUCAAGUUGCCGAAGAGGCCAUUUAUUUGUGACAGCAAGAGAAAGCACAACACGGACAGUAGUAGCUUUGACAACCGGACUGAAAGUAUCAGUGUAGUCGAGACCAGGUACUUGGGUAUAACCUUUAGCAACAAGGCGAGCCUUGAGACGCUCGACGGAACCAUCCGGAAAAUAUUUAGUGCGAAACACCCAUUUAGAACCCACGAUGUUGGUGUUGACAGGUCGAGGGACCAAAAUCCAAGUACCAUUUUGUUGUAAAGCUUGAACUUCUUCAUCCAUGGCAGCAAGCCAAGCAGGAUUCUUAGCAGCAGAUUUGAAUCCUUUGGGCUCAGUGGAUGAAAGAAGAGCAGAAAGAAGUCCAGAGGAGCCCAAGACACCAAGAUUCGCUGGAUGUCGAGUCUUGAAAAUACCAGCUUUGGCUCGUGUGAUCAUAGGAUGAGAGCCCAAAGAAGAAGAGGAAUCAGCAGCAUGCUCAAUAGAAUGUGGACUGGAAGCCAAGGGUGGCAAAGAGAAACCUGCAAGAGAAGUAUCAACCUGCACAGACUCAUCCACAAGAUCAGAACAAAUAUUACAUGGAGAGGAGUUGGAUCGAGGAAUGUGCCAGGAAGGAGAGGGAGGGGGAGAUGGAUCAAUAUGGUGAAGACGUGGUUCCAAGAAAUUUGAAAUAUGAAGAGAGGAAAGAGGUUGGGCCUGGGAGCUUGGGACAGUAGGAAAGUGAGUUUCAUCAAAUUGAGCGUGGCGGGUGAUGUAUAGCCUAGAGGUGGUGGGAUCAAGACAACGAAACCCUUUAUGAGAGGGACUAUAACCCAAGAAAAUGCAAGGAAUGCUGCGGGGAGAAAGUUUGUUAGGCAUAUAAUCACGCAAGCAAGGAUAAACACGACAACCAAAAGGAUCUCAUAAUGUGGAGAGUAGCCGUAUAAAAGUUCAAAGGGUGACUUACCACCAAGAAGUGGAGUGGGCAACCGGUUGAUGAUAUAAGUUGCAGUGUUGAAAGCGUCAACCCAGAAACGAGGAGAAAGGUGGAAGUGGAAGAGAAGGGCCAAGCCAGUCUCAGUCACAUGACGAUGUUUUCUCUCAGCACGACCAUUUUGAGCAAGUGUAUAUGGACAAGAGAGUUGAUGAUGUAUGCCAGAAGUACGUAAGUGAGCUUUGAAGCAAGUAUUAGUAAAUUCAGCACCUCCAUCACUUUGAAAAACCUUGAUACGAGCGGAAUGUUGGUUUUCCACAAAUUUUUGAAAUUGAAGAAAAAUAUCAAAGAAAUCAGAUUUAAAUUUCAAAGGAUAAAGCCAAGUAAAUCGGGAAUAAUCAUCAAUAAAAAUAACAUAGUAAAGAAAACCGGAAUUUGAUUUGAUGGGGGAAGGACCCCAAAGAUCACAAUGAAUAAGAUCUAACACAUGAGACGACCUAUGUUCAUUUCGGGAAUAAGGUAAUCGAUGAUUUUUCGCAAGUUGACAAGUACUACAUAGUGAGGGAGAAGGCAAUAAAGACGUAAGAGAAAGAUGUCCUUUUUUAUUUAAAAAAGAAAUUACAGAAUAAUUCACAUGACCUAGGCGAGCAUGCCAUAAAUCAUAUGAAGCACGUAGAGAUUUAUUUUUAAGGACAGAAAUAAAGGCAGAGUUGCCGCACUCCAACACAUAUAACCCUCCAUCUCUUUUACCGGUUGCCACCACCCUUCCUGUUUGACGAUUCUGGACAGUAAAAAGAUUAUUAGUAAAUGUAACGGAGAGAGGAAAAUCAGACGUUAAUUUACUAAUGGAAAGAAGAUUUUUUGUGAGAUGAGGGACAACCAAUACAUCUAAUAAGUGAAUAUUUGGAACAGGAGAAAGAGUACCAGUGUGGGUAAUGGGUAGAGAGACACCGUUUCCUACGAUCACAGAGUCCUUACCCAUGUAAUUUUUGGACUGAUCCAAAAUAGAUGGAUCGGUGGUCAUAUGAGCCGAAGCUCCGGUGUCCAAAAACCAGUCAGCAGCCUCGGGUCCAGAAAGAGAACAAGAUGUGUUGAAGGCCUCGGCAAGAUGAGCAGAGGAAUCAGUCCGAGCAUACCGUUGGUUGCAGCGGUCAGCAUAAUGGCCCUCUAUGCGACAAAUUUGGCAGCGAGGUAGUCAACGACCAUGACCAGAGUAGGUUCGUCCUCGGUUGGAAGAGUUGUUGUUGUGGGAAUGAGAACGACCUCGCUGGUUGUUACGGAAAGCAAAUGGAGUUCCAUGAGAAGUGGUGCGACUGCGAUUAGUGGCUGUGAAUGCCGCAGUGGUGGGUUCAGAAGACUCAAGGGAUCGCUGGAACAACUCAAAACUUUCAGCUUUAGAAACUAGAUCUGCAAAAUAGGGGAGAGGGGUGAGAGACAUUUGAGCUGUAGAAAAACUGGAAAAAUCGGGGCCGAGUCCACGAAAGAACCAGUGCACUUUGUCAGUGUCCUCGACGGGUCUUCCAAUGGCAUGAAGCUGGUCACAAAGUGUUUUGAAGGUACGGGCAUACUCAGCAACGGGUUUGGUGCCGCGUUUCAUCAGCUGCAAGUCAUCCUUGAGUCGUAGUUCACGAGCUUUCGAAUGAUGGCUGAAUGUAUUCUCCAAUGCGAGCCAAACUUCACGGGCAGUGGAGAGACCAACAACGACAGCAAUGGCUUCCUCGGUGAGAGAGGAGAGCAAGAGACAGAGAAGCCGUUGAUCAGCUGCUUUCCAUGCCAAAUAUUUGGUGCUGAGUGUGGUAGAAGUUUCUGGUUCAAAACGGGGUGGUGGAACAAGAGUUCCAUCAACGUAGGCCAACAGGUCUUGACUCUCAAGGAGAGGAAGAAGUUGGCUUUUCCAGAGAAGAUAAUUGGAGGAAGAAAGCUUGAUGGUGAUCAUGUGGAUUAGAGUGUUGAAAGGAAGAAGAUGAGAGGAUUCAGAAGCCAUGGAGAAAAAUGGAUUGGGGUUGCUAAACCAGAUUGGCUCUGAUACCAUAAGAAUAUUUGUCAAACCACCACACUUGAGAAGGUGGUGAGAGUUUUCUAUUUAUAAUCAUUUACAGAAUAUUACAAAUCAAAUAAUAUCAAACUGAUUACAAAAGAAAUGGAAAGUAGGAAAUAAUAUCAAACUAAUUACAAAAGAAUAGCAUGUAAUCAAGGGUCAAAUAUGAUACAUAUGGUAAAUUGUAAUGGAAAGGCUAAGUAUCCUUAACAAAGAUGACCUAUGGGCAUUAUGCACCUGUUGUCCAGCUCCACUUGCCUAUCCUUUGUGUGAACAGUAACCCAGUUUUCUGAUCCUACAGGAAGAAAGCUAUGCUACCAAGGCCACCAUUGCAGCCAAAGAACAGAAAGAGAAGCAGCGACUGGAAAUAACUCAACUAGUCCGCCUCCUUAGACAAAUCGAGACUCAAGUCAACUCCCACCACGGUGACAUCCGCCAGACACUGGCCGACCACAGGAGGUCCCUCCACAAAUCCUUUCAGAAAGCCAUUUCGUAUAUUGCUGCCAUUCACCAUUCCUGUCAAAACCAGGAAACCCUUCUCUUCGUGUUGAAUGUCUUCCAAAUCACGCUCAGACAAGUGGAUGCUGCCCUUAACGCAGUGGAGAGUGGUGUGGAAGACCUCAUGCAGCAGUUGGCUCAACAAAUGUGCAAUCCACUGGUGGAGUAUGUGAAGCGCCUCAAGACCGAAACGACAUUAGGCACAUUUGCUCGCCUAUUAGCCAUGGUGGAAGAGAUGGAACGGGAAAUCAGAGAUGGGAGGGUGGAGCUGGAGGAGGAGAGAAUGAAGGUGAGAGUUGCAGAAAAAAAGAUGCUUGAGGCUCUGACUAGGUUGACAGAAUUAGAAGACAGAGAGAGAAUGAAGGAACAGCUUGGGUCGCUCUUAGAAACUAGGAAAAGCUAUACUCUACGUCCACGCAAGGUUCGCCGACCCUGUUAAUAUGUGAGACCAGUUGCUUCCUAACUCGCAUUGAUUUGGUAGUCGGAAUUUGGAAGUCCAUCGAUGGCUUCCUCUGGCCACCAUCCAGUAAUAUGACUGCAAAACGGUACAAAAUUUGUGUUUGUUUCUUAUACUGACCACAUUUUCAUGCAAUCUCAGGUUUUUUUUUUUUUUAAUAAUUAUUAUUUAAAGUCCUGGUUUAAAAAUAAAUUAAAUCAAGAAACUUUGAGACCGAUUUACUAUGAUUUAAAAAGAAUUUUCUAUUUAAAAAUAAAUAAAAAAACUUGUUUUGGGUCAUUAUUCUUUGUUUUCAAUUUUAAAAAAUGAAGAACAUUUUUAAAAAAAUAAAUAAAAAUUGUAUUAGAAAGCUAAUAAAAAACAAAAGAAAACAUAGAUAGAUUUAAAAAUAUAUCUAUAAAAAGCAAAUAAAACCAAUUUAAUUUGUAUUAGAAAACUAUUAGUUGAAUAAUAUUAAAAAGUCAUUGACCAAACUAAUUUAAGCUCAAAUUUUGAUUUAAUUAAUAUUAAAAAAUUAUAAAACUUGAUAACAUUAUAACAUCAUUGACCAUAUAAUCGUAUUUUUGUAAAUCUUUUCACUAGAAAAAUAAGUUCCAAAGCCAGGCUGAAUUUUGCAGCUCAACUCGGAUCGAUCAUUUUCCAAAGCCAAGUUUGUUAAUGGUGGUUGCAUUGGUUAAAGCAUGGUAGGCAUUUUUAUUAUUGACUCUAAGUAAUAAUGGAUACUAGACAAAGUUUGCUUUGUUGACAAAUAAACCAAGCUGAAUUUUGCAACUUGUGAAUGAUGGCAUGGCUUGGCUUUUGGUGCAGCCAAGUCUUAUGGUUUUUUGAGAUUUCAUUAAUCCUUUUAUUUUUAGCUUUGUUAUAUAAUUUGCUUUUAUGAUUGAAAUACUUCUUGAAUGCUUCUUAUGGACUUCAGUAGCCAUAACGUUUUUCUCUUCUGCGAGUUGUGCUAAGUAGAUAUUUUAACCAUUAGAGAAUGAGAAAAUAAAAGUUAAUCUUAAUAAAGAAAACACUCAAGAAGAGGAGGAAGAGGGGGGAGGAGGAAGGGUGUGAAUUGGGUUUUAAAAAUUCUUUUUCAAACACAAUAAAUUCAAGUAAAAGAAACACAAAUAUAAAGAAAUAAAGUUAGAGAAAGCAAAUUUAGAUUUUAUAAAUGGUUUGACACUCUUUGCCUACAUUCACUCUCCUCAAGCUCUUAACCGAGUGAGAGUUUCACUAUACUUGAAGCUUCAACCAAGCUUCCAACACUGUUAUACUUGGAUUUCGACCCCAAUAGACUCUUACAAAAUCCCUUCAAGUCUUUGCUCACAUGAAACUUUUAACACUCAAAUAACAAGUUUAAAUCUCUCAACCUACCUCAACAAGGACUUAAAUACGACUUAAAUGCUAGGAAAAAUCACAAGGGUGUACUAAGGAAUAUGCAAAUGGAGAUUUAAUGCACUAAGGAAAGAAUGAGAACUUUUGAGUUAAGAACAAAUAGGCAAACAAAUAAAUGCAGGUAUUUUUUUGCUCAUGAAUGAAGUGGAGCUCUCAAUUUAUAGGUUUCUAAACUCGAUAGCCAAAAUGUCAAAAAGCCACUUCGACCGAUCGAGUUAGGGGCCGACCGGUUGAUUAGCCGUUGGUCAAUAAAUAUAUGGCAGGUGACCGUUAGGUCUCGAUCGGAUUUCAACCAAGACUCGAUCAGAAAGACAUAACCAUCGAUCGAAAAUGCAAGACUACCGGAAGAGAGAGAAGAUCUUUUGCAUCUCUCGAUCGGACCUCGAUCGAUUAUACCCUCUCGACCAGAAAGGUAUAACCAGUCGAUCAAUACCCUAGCCGAUUGAGCUAGUUGACCAAUGCCUUGACCGGUUCACCAUUUUUUGCCCAAAAACCUAUUUUUUUUCUAUUCCUUUCACUUCUAACACUUAGGCAAGGUCUUUAGGUAAAUGAAUAUGUUAAUUUUGAAGUGAUUUGCCUAAGGUUCAUUUGAUAAAACUCGGGUUUUAAUGGAAAUGUAACUUUAAUGCAUAAAUCGAGUUUUUAAGGAUACAUGAAAAUAUAAAAUAAAAUAAAAAAUCAUAAAUGCAUCCAUGUAUUCAUCUUACAUAUGUUUCUUAUAAUUAAAGGUCUCCCAAUUAUCUUGAUCUUGCAUCUAUUAGGUUAUUUGAUGAAUUUCUCGAAUAUCAUUUUGAUUUUCCAAAUUAAAACUUGAAAUUCUUUAUAAUUCAAACCAAUUAGCAACUUAAUCAUGAUUUGGCAUCAUCAAAACGCAAUUAGGAGAACCCUUAGGGUAACAAAAAUAUCUUCCAUUAUUCUCAUGUUCAAGUCCCAUAAAAAAAAACAUUCUUCCUAUGCACCUGAGAAGGGGGUUCUCUAUGAUGGAAUAUACAUAAUUGAGAAAUGUUGGAGAAAAGUUGGAAUUCAAGUAAAUACAUAUCCUACAAAUACAUAUUUCCAGUUAGGUUGUUCUUUUUGCUAAAUGUGUACUGAUAAGGUUUUUAUAUGCACCAGAGGUAUAAGGUUUGUAGGUACCUAUUUGUUAGAUGUGACAAUGAACCCACCCCAUGGACAAGGUUUGUGUGGUUUUGCAGCUUCUUCUCUCAUUGAAUUCCCUUCACUAUUUUUUUUCCCAAAUUUUAACUACAGUGAUGAACAUGGGGACCGACCUAGACCCCUUGCUAGAGAUUCCGGAGUUAAAUGUCACGGACUUGGUCUUUUCCUAAACUCGUGCGACACUUAGACAAGUCAAGACACUUGAUCUUGAUAAGUUAGCCUUACUCCCAAUGGUUAGCUUGCUAGGUUAAGAUGCUUACGACUCGGAAGCUUUAGAAGGCGUAGUAAGCAACUCUUAAAGAAUGGAAGUUUUUAUUACUCAAAGAAAACUUUACAAGUGCUUUUGGAAACUCACUUGCUUGCUUGGUUAGGUUCUUAGGUGGUACCUUGGCCAAAUAAAGUCCUCACAUAUUUAUAGGUACCAAUGGAACUCUCUGGAACCUUGGAUGGUUCCUUACAAAUCAAGAAUAAUUUGGAAGCUCCUACACUAGUUUAUGCACAAGGGUAUGUACAAGAUGACUUUGGAAGAUUCUUAAACACCCCACACUAUUCCAAUUCUCUCUUAGCCAAGUGUGGAGAUGUGUGAACAUCUCUAACUCUCUCUAAAAGCUUCCAUACUCUUCCACUUUGUAGUUAAGUGUAACUGUCUCCAGGGAUCUCUAAAAGCUUCCCACCUCCUAUAUAAGCAAGCCCAUGGGGAGGGUCAUUUGAAGCAUCGCUACUACUGAUAACAGAAGGAAAGUCCAUCAUGGGACUUUGAUGUAAGUGGUCAUAUUUCUCUCUCUCACCAUUAUUUUGCUUGUUUUUAAUCCUUCUUUUUCUAGUAAAGCCCAUGCGCACGUAGAAAAGAACAAAAUGAUGUGAACCAGAUCAUAAAGAUUACUGCUUGGAUUGAUUAGAUGAUAUUUCUAUCGUGUUUCAAUUGUUAUUAAGCCCUUCAGAUCUCGACUGUUUUUUUCCGUUGUGGGACAAUAUGCACAUAUUGUCCAUGUAAAAACAGUUAUGCUACGCUGCAAUCUUUUUCCCAGGACAAUACACUCCUAUGGAAGUGGAAAAGAACUCCACCUGUCAGCCGUAAACUUGUGGACACUGGAAAUUCCGUGAGAAAGAGAAAGAGAAAGAGAACUGCAAGAGAAAAGCUCCCUAAAGAUUUGGUUUUCUCUCUGUUCUUAUUCUUUUUCCUUCUUUAUUCUUAUUUAACCAAUGCCAUCCUCCUUAGGAUUUGAAACUGUCCCUUAGGUGGAUGGUGGACCUCCUUCCAAUUUGUUAUUGAAUCAAAUUAAAACAUCAAUGUUCUGACAAGAUGGUUCCAUAGGGAUUUUGAACUCAUAAAAGAAAUUGGUAUUUUCUAUGAUCUGAUCUUUUAGGGUAUGGAAAUUGGUCCCAUUUAGGAUCAUUGCAGGUUAACUUGAUGUGGAAAACUAAGGUAGAGGGAGGACUGUUGUAUAAUCUUGCUUCCUUGAUGUUUAAUAGAUUUUAUUAUGUUCAUUUUCUUAAAUUUCACUUACAUUUCCGAAUGCAGAUUUCUACUGCUCGCUGUGUCAAAAUGUGAUGAGGCUUCCUGUAACAACACCAUGUGCUCAUAACUUUUGCAAAGAUUGUGUGCAAGAGGCCUUUGCUGGUAAGACGUUUGUACGUAAGAGAUUAUGCUUUAGUGGGCAGGCACUUAGAUCGCACAAGAAUGUCAUGAAGUGCCCUUCUUGCCCAGCUGACAUAUCCGAAUUCCUGCAAAAUCCACAGGUAUGGUACAUGGUGCCCCAUAUACUUUUAAUGUCUGUGAAAGUAGAUUUUAUCUUGCUUUCAUUUUCAUAUGAUUUGUGAGAAUGGAACUGGUAGUGCCAAGUUAUUUGGGGUUGUAAGAUUCAUAAAAAUCUUUUUAGGUUUCCUUUCUUAUGCUCUCAGCAACCAGAAGUAGCAUCAGUGCAUGUUUUUCGUUAAUGUGGAAGAAGUGCAAGUCGUCUUCUUUUUUUUUUUCCUUUUUGCAUGAAAUUUAGUUUACGUGAGCUUGUUGGGGACUGAUAGUGACAGGUUAAUAGAGACUUAAUGGAUUUGAUCCAAUCAUUGCAAUGUGACACCAAAGAGGGAGGAACCCAUAGCUCAAGAGAAUUUUGAAAAAGUUGAUCCUGUGAAUUGCUCCUCAAAUUUGGAUGAUGAGAAGAAAAACGAGACCAAUGCAGAGGAUAAGUCCGAAGAUUCUCCUAAUGGGAAGAAAACUGUUGGUCGUGGCCGGGGUCGCCCGCGGAGAAAUGGUCGUGGGGGUGAGGGUCGGGGCCGGGGUUGUUGUCGUCCACUAAAAAUCAAUAUCCAGGCUAAUGAUGAAUUUGAGUAAUGGGAGUGUUUAUACCAAGAUAAUUCUUUCAAAAUUGUUUUAUCAAAAUGGAAUAAAAAUAUUUGGUAUUUUAAUUUAUAUAAUAUAAAAAGUAAAUCAUAGGAUACGACGUUUUCAUAAUUAAAUUAUAAGGUCCUUAAUUCUCACGUUUAAGAAUAUUAUGAAGACAAUUUUAUCCGAUAGAGAGUCAUUUUCCAAAUUUUUAAAAAGUAUCCUUUUUUCGAUUUAACGACUACCAUUCCAUUCACAGUACUCGAAGUGUCUUCAACCUGUUUGCUUUAAAAGUUAAAACAUUAAACAAUUGGAACACACGGAGACAAAGUCAAUAACAUUGCAUUUCUGUAGGAGAGUUAACCUAAGAAAAUUUUAUUCCUCAACUCUUUUUUCUUUAAAUUGUUCGGGCCACUUUUUGGGCUUGGGAGUCCAAAAAAUCGGUUCUUGCUUUGGAUUUCAGGCCGUUCCGUGCGUACUGUAUUCCUUGGAGGCCCAUGUUGAGCCCAUGGGCUUGCAAGUCCAAAAAUGUCCACUGCUUUGCCUGCUGGCUGCACUCAAAAACUUCGCUCGAAUUUCCACUGAAAUCAGUAGUUUCUCUCUGUGAAAGCCCUAACUAUCCACCCCUUGUUUGACUAAGGUAAUACCAUCCAUUUCCCAAGUGUUAAAGUUGAUUCAUUUAUUUCUUUUCUCAUACUUUAAUUUAUUCAAAUUCCUUGUUAGUGUAUUUCUUUGUGCAAUAACCUUAUUGAUUCAAUGGAAAAAAGGGCAAAAACACUGUAUGAAUCUGUCCAAAAGGGUUCAAGUUAGAUUGUGUGAAGCUAAUGAAUAGUGAAACGCCAAAUUGCCUGAUUUGACUGUUCCAUUUUUUCUGUCUAAUGGAUUGGAAAAGAUGUUUUGAGGGUCUUAUUUCUCCAGUUUCACUUGGUUACAAAGUUACAAAAUUUUAAGAACUGGCGACCGCUUAUAGUUUAGGUUAACAAUCUGCUAUAGGAAAAUUCGUAGCUUAGAUGUUUUUUUUUUUUUGUUUUUUUCUUUUGUAUUCUGUCUAAUUCUGCCAAGGUCAGAUUUUGGUUAUGGGUGCUGUUUUUUCUUUUGUCCAUUUAAUAAGGCCUUUCUUUGCAAAGGGGAAUGGCUGAUUCUUCCAGGGUAUGUGAGUUCCAGCUGUUGUUUAUCACCAUUCAAAUGCCGGGCAAGGUGGGAUAUGCUAAUUGCUGGUGGUUUCAAAUAUCGGGUCUUUUUCAAUGGGCAAUGUCUUAAUGGUCAAAGUUUGGAUUUUGGGUGGAUUCGUACUGUUGGCAGUGUGCCAUUACAUCUUGGGACUUGAGUGUUUGUUGAAUUUCCAUCGAUUGAUUCUGGAUGCCAUAUUUGUUUUAGUCUGCUUUGGUUGCUCUACUAUCCGUUUGGAUCUCAAAAGGACAAUGAAAGAACGCUGCAAGUUACAAGCUAUUUUCAGUUUUCCCUUCCAUUCCCUCCAUAAUUAUCCUGUUUGGAAAGAGCCUAAGUGGGAUGCGUUUUUUCAUUUUUAUUGAAACAAAUUGGUGACUUGAUCUUUCCAAGAUUACUUAUAUGUUGCUAAGAUUUUUAAAUUUGGAGUUGUAUUCUAAGUCACUCAGAGGGAUAAUUUCUGAAUUGGUUGUCAUUAUUGGCAUUUUCAUUUGAACAGAUGUCAACAGAUGAAUUUUUGUCUACACUGAACAUAUGCCUAGUUUUGGCUUAUUAUUUUCCAUAUUCUUCCAUGUAAAACAGCUGUUACAUGCAUGAAAGGGAUUUAUUGUGGCAACUUUAUCAAUGCUGAUAGAUUUUGUCAUUUGUUAUAGACUGAUUUACUUGGAUUGAUUUUCUUCUUCUUUUAUCUAUUUUAUGUAUUUUUUUAAAAUCAUAUGGAUUUUUUUGCCAGUCUCCCACUCACCAGUCCUUCCACCCCACUGAUGUGGUGCCCUCAAAGCUCCAGUUGGUACUGAUAAUUAUAAUUCUGUUAAAAGAUAUAUCUUACAUAUGUUGGCUUCUUAUUGUAGGUUUCUGGUAUUUUGAAACAAAUUUAUCCAGUGCCUCAAGAUCCUAAGUAUUUAUUUACUUCUUCACUGAUGGCAAGCAUGGCAUUUUCUUGCCUAUUUAUCACCUUCUGUUGGUAAUGUUUUGGUCAUAAUCAUGUGUAUGUAUCAUCCAACAAUCAAGGUUAUAUACUUAACUGCAACCCUAUUUGAUGGUUGCUCAGGUGUUAUUUGCUUAUACCAUGUCAUUUGCUUGCUUUAAUCAUCCUCACCAAAAAAAAGUUCAUCUUGACUUGGAGUGUUUCAGAGCCUGUGCAAGUGAUGCUAUGCAUACCACUGCUGUGGACCUUUCACAGUUGGUCGUGUGGAAGUAGAAUCAUGUAGAUUGUGAAAGCAAAUAACUUACGUAUUGAUACAAUAAGGUUAUGACUUCAAUUUUGGUGGCACCUGAGCCAACUUAAAGUAGAGAUGGCAAUUAGGGGAGUUUAAAUACUAUAAUGGCACCUAAGCUAGACCUUUACUGUGGUGAAGUUAAGACAUCGUGAUAGAGUUCCCUUUGGUUUUGAUGAUGAUCAUCAUUUUUGUUGAUACGUGAUAACGAAAGUGGAAUUAUUUCUUGCUAUGGCAUUCUCCCUUCUCUCAAAUGAUUUUACUCAUCUCUCUCUCUCUCUCUCUCUAGUUUGUAUUUGAUCCAUUUUGCAAAUAAAAUCUUGUAAAUGGCGGUGUUCUUAGGCAAGUUAUCUUGUGCCAAAGAAAAUGGUUAUAUGUAAAGGAUACCUUCCCUUGGGAGGAGUGCAGUGUUGUAUUGAAAUUUUGACUAUUUCAUUUGAAACUCAAUUGGUGUCCAGUGAGUGUAGAUCAAACUUCUGUGGGCUGGUUCUAAGAGUCAUGCCAUCAUUUGGGUGACCCAUCAUUGGGCUUAAGAGUGGCAUUGUUCCACCCCAGCAAACCCCCAAACAUGAUACUCUUAUGACUCAAGCCUAUGAACCUUGGCUCUAAUACAAAUUGUUUGAUCGAGUUUUGACUAUCUCAUUUGAAAACUAAUUGGCAUCUAGUGAGGGUAGAUCAAACGUUUUAUGACAUUCACCACAACCUGUUUUAAGAGCCAUUAUUUAGGUGAAACAUCCACGGGCUUAAGAGCAGUAUUGCUACUCCCCAACAUGUAGCAACAUUGAAGUUGCAAUUUGCAUAGAGAUAAAGUGACCUAGUAGGAUUCAACAUCUUGGUAUGAGAGUUGGUGGGAUUUAUUAUGUAGGGUACCUUACAAUGAGUAAGCUGAUCUAGAGGAUCAAAACCAAUCAGGGUGUUUAUGGGAAGUGAGAGCUCAUCGCCUGCCCUUGGGAACUGCAGGCUUGUCUCCUAUAUAGGCAAUGAAUGAAUGGCGAUCUCAGCAUGACAUAUGUGUUGAGAGAGAGAGAGAGAAAGGAGAAAAACCUUAUUCACAUUCAUUGUAAUCUCUACUUACAAUUGAGAGAUAUAUAUAUACAAGGCUAGUAACUACCAUACAUGUGACCUAUAUUAACAAGGAAAGAUAGUAUACUAUACAUACAUUAUAUUCAACACUCCCCCUCAAGCUGGAGCAUAUACGUCAUAUGCACCAAGCUUGUUACAAAUAUAUUUAAUCCUAGGACCUCUGAGAGAUUUAGUGAAGAUGUCUGCUAGUUGAUCAUUUGAAUUGACAAAACUUGUAGCAACACAUCCUGAUGCGAUCUUCUCUCUAAUGAAAUGACAGUCAACUUCAAUAUGCUUGGUCCUUUCAUGAAAGACUGGAUUGGAUGCAAUAUGUAAUGCGGCCUGGUUAUCACAGAUGAGUUUCAUCUGUUCAUCCUUUCCAAAUCUCAACUCCUGAAGAAGAUGUCUCAACCAUAUGAGUUCACAUGUUGCCAAAGCCAUAGCUCGAUACUCGGCUUCAGCGCUAGAUCUGGCCACUACAUCUUGUUUCUUACUCUUCCAAGAUAUUAGAUUACCUCCAAUAAAAACACAGUACCCUGAAGUGGAACGUCUAUCUGUGGGUGAGCCAGCCCAAUCUGCAUCUGUGUAACCAACAACUUGAGUAUGACCUCUGUUCUCGUACAAUACACCUUGGCCUGGUGUACUUUUGAUAUAUCGAAGAAUACGGAUUACGGCAUCCCAAUGGCUAUCACAUGGUGACUGUAGGAAUUGACUAACAACACUCACAGGAAAAGAAAUGUCUGGACGAGUAAUGGUGAGAUAGUUCAAUUUACCUACGAGCCGUCGAUAUCUCCCGGGGUCUCCUAAAGGCUCCCCCUGUCCUGGUACAAGUUUGACAUUCGGAUCCAUAGGUGUGUCUACCGGUUUACAGUCUAACAUACCGGUUUCUUCCAGGAUGUCUAAAGCAUACUUCCUUUGGGAAAGGACCACACCAGAACUGGAUUGAGCUAUCUCAAUUCCCAAGAAAUACUUGAGUUUCCCCAAGUCUUUGGUCUGAAAGUGGGUAAAAAGAUGUUGCUUUAGUUUCUGAAUACCAUCCUGAUCACUGCCUGUAAUGACGAUGUCGUCCACAUAAACAACCAGAUAAAUACACUGCCCCAAGGAGUUAUGAUGAUAAAAAACUGAAUGGUCUGCUGUACUGCGAAGCAUGCCAAACUCUUGAACAACAGAACUAAAACGGCUAAACCAUGCUCGAGGAGAUUGUUUCAAGCCAUAUAGAGAGCGGCGUAACCUGCACACUAAACCAGACUCCCCCUGAGCAACAAAACCAGGAGGUUGCUCCAUAUAAACUUCCUCAGCAAGAUCACCAUGAAGGAAGGCAUUUUUAAUAUCCAACUGAUAAAGAGGCCAAGAACACAUAGCAGCCAUGGACAGAAGCAAGCGGACAGAAGCAAUCUUGGCAACAGGGGAGAAUGUGUCACCAUAAUCAGAACCAUAAACUUGAGUAUAGCCUUUAGCAACUAAGCGGGCCUUAAGGCGAUCAACCUGACCAUCAGGACCAACCUUAACUGCAUAGACCCAACGACAACCAACUGUAGAUUUACCAGAGGGUAAAACAACAAGAUCCCAAGUGCCAUUAGAGUGCAGAGCAGCCAUUUCAUCCACCAUUGCCUGUCGCCAGCCUGGAUGGGAAAGAGCUUCAUGGGUGCUCUUUGGAAGAGAAACAGAGGAUAUAGCAGAAACAAAAGCAGAAUAGGGUGAAGAUAAUCGAUGAUAACUCAAAAAAUUGUAAAUAGGAUGAGGAUUACGAGUAGAGCGAGUACCUUUCCGAACAGCAAUGGGUAAGUCAUUAGGAGAAGGCAGAGCCGGGGCAGGUGAAGCCGAAGGGAUAGGAAGUGAGUCAGCAGGUGCCUCAGGAAAAGGGAGAGGAGCAACGACACGAGGGCGACGAUGAUAAACCUGAAGUGGUCGAGGGGGCAUAGCAUCAGGUAGGGAGACAAUGGGAAUGGGCAAGACUUCAGAAACAGGAAGAGACUCAGAAGUGGUGGAAAAGAAUGGUGAGUCCUCAAAGAAGGUGACAUCAGCGGAGAUAAAGUACCGAUGAGUCUCAAGGGAAUAACAACGAUAACCCUUCUGAAGUCUGGAAUAUCCCAAGAAGAGGCACUUCAUGGCUUUGGCGGAAAGCUUGUCCUGUCCAGGAGUGAGAAUAUGAACAAAGCAAGUACAACCAAAGACACGAGGAGGAAGGAAAUAAAGUGGUUGGUCAGGGAAAAGAAGGGAGUGAGGAAUCUGAUCGUGUAAGACAGAGGAGGGCAUACGAUUAAUCAAAUAACAAGCGGUAAGAACAGCGUCCCCCCAAAAACGAAAAGGAACAUGAUUAUGGAGGAGGAGAGUACGAGCUGUCUCAACAAGAUGUCGAUUCUUGCGUUCAGCUACCCCAUUUUGUUGAGGAGUAUGAGCACAAGAAGACUGAUGAAGAAUCCCAUGAUGAGACAUAAACGAAGUAAAUUGGGCUGAAAAAUAUUCCCUGGCAUUGUCACUGCGUAACACACGAAUAGAAAUAUUGAACUGGGUUUGGAUUUCAGUAUAAAAUUUCUGGAAAAUAGAGAAUAACUCAGCUCGAUUUUUCAUUAAGAAUAACCAAGUACAUCGAGAAUAGUCAUCAAUGAAAGUGACAAAAUACUGAAAUCCUAAAGUAGACGCAGUCCGACAAGGACCCCAAACAUCAGUGUGGACAAGCUCAAAAGGAGACUUUGCCCGAUUAUUCAAACGCUUUGGGAACGAGACACGAGUAUGUUUCCCAAGCUGACAUGACUCACACGGAAGCGACGACAAAGUGGAAAAACGAGGAACCAUCUUCUGGAACUUGGAGAGACUAGGGUGGCCCAGACGAUUGUGAAUGAGGAGAGGAGCAUCAGUGGAAAUGCAAAUUGCAGGAGAUGAAUCUGAGGUGAGGUGAUAGAGGCCUUGAGACUCACGUCCUAUGCCAAUCGUCUUCCCCGUACUCCGGUCCUGCAAGGUCACAAAUUUAUCAGAAAAGGUAAUAGAGCAAUUAAGAGUACGAGUGAUUUUGCUGAUGGAAAUAAGAUUAAAAGGACAUUCAGGAGUAUAAAGGACAGAAGUGAGAGGUAGAGAAGGCAAAGGAAGGGCCAAACCAAUACCUUUAGCCACAGUUUGAGAACCAUUAGCUAAGGUAACAGUAGGUAAAUCAGAGGUAGUAGUAAUAGAGGAGAAAAGAUCCUUAUUACCAGAUAGGUGAUCAGAUGCUCCAGAAUCUAGAAUCCAGGGUCCAAGAGAAGAUGUGUGGGUAAGGCAGGCAGAGGCAUUACCAGGCUGGGCAACAGAGGCAAUAGAAGCCUGAGAUGUCUGAGAUACGGAGGAGCUCGGAGGCUGAGGCAGCGGAGAAUCAGAGGACUGGGCCAUAUGGGCAGUGCGAGGAGGUCUUCCAUGUAACUGAUAGCAACGAUCGCGAGUGUGGCCAAGUUUAUUGCAAUAGGUGCAAUGAGGACGUUGGCCUCUACCUCGGGUACCACUACGUCCUCCUCGAGAGGUAGUUUGAGAAACUAACACAGAAGAAUCUGAAGCGCUAUCAGAUGGCAAAGUCUGAGUGGACGAGAUACGGAGGAGGCGAGCAAACACAUCAUCCAAGGACGGAACUGAUGAACUACCAAGAAUCUGAUCACGAAUAGGCUCAAGAUCCGGACGGAGGCCGAUAAGAGUAAGGACCAUGAAGAACUUGUCAAGCUGUGUUUGUUGAGCCCCAACAUCAGGAGUAAGAGGCAUCACAGUCAAGAACUGCUCCUUAAGAGAGGCAAUCUGGCCAAUAUAAGUAGAUAGAUCCAAGUCCUGUUGGCUGAGAUGGACAAUAGCAGAAGCCACCUUAUAAAGACGCUGGAUAUCAUUCGUGUAUAAUCCUUUGGCCUGAGUCCAAAAUUUAAAACAAGUUUUAUAGGCCUGAAGAUGAAGAAGAAUUCGGGGAUCAACCGAUUGCCAUAAUACACUACACAACUGUGCAUCUAUCUUCCUCCACUGUACGCGGUCGACCUCAGGGAUAUCUGCCUCCUGUGUAAUCAAGUGAUCCUCAUAUCCUUGACCCAUAAACCAAAGUUCAACAGAGGCAGACCAGGAAAGAUAAUUUUCACUCCCAACUAAUUUCUCCGAAGUAAUCAUAGGAGAUCCAGAUAUGACAGAGGAAAAAAUGGAAGCUUUAGUAGCCAUAUCCACUUAUCUGGAGAAUGAAGUAUGUUUGGAUCGAAGAGAGCCCUAAUACGGCUUCAGAUUUCAGCGUGGCACCACCGAAAAAGGGAGACCGCCUCAGAUCGCGGUGUGGUACCACCAGAAAGGGAGAAGAACACUUCCCAAGGCACGUGCAGGGAUUGGAGUGGAGAAAAAGUGGUCGGAGCUUCGCCGGAAAGACUGUUUGGAGGGCCGACGGAGGCAAAAAUCCCCAAAAGAGGUACGUCCAGGGCUCGGAUGGGAGAACCAGGGAGGUGGGAAGGCUGAUCGGCGUCAGGCGAAGCUGGAGGAGGAGGCGCGUCGCCGGAAAAGCUCUCACGCGCCCCCACGCGCCGGCGCGUGAGAUUCAACCGCCGGCCGGAAAAUUGCGCGUGGCCGGCGCGUGGCUGCUCUUUUGGUGCUGGUGCCUUCACAAAAGUUGGAGAUCUCCUCCAGGCGCUCCUUCUGGUAUGGUCGGUGUCGGAAAAAUAGGUCGCCGGGAAAUUUCGCCGGAAAAUUUCGCCGGAAAGUUCGCCGGAAAAUUUCGCCGGAAAAUUUGCCAGCGGUGAGUGUUUUCUAACGACGAUCCGACUGACCGGAAAAAAUUGGGAGAUGGGGAAGGUGACCGGAAAGAAACACGGUCACCGGAAGGUUUCCCGGAGUUGAUGACACGGAAAACAGGAAAGAAUUAGGUUUUCUUCCUUGGCUCUGAUACCAUGUUGAGAGAGAGAGAGAGAAAGGAGAAAAACCUUAUUCACAUUCAUUGUAAUCUCUACUUACAAUUGAGAGAUAUAUAUAUACAAGGCUAGUAACUACCAUACAUGUGACCUAUAUUAACAAGGAAAGAUAGUAUACUAUACAUACAUUAUAUUCAACAAUAUGUAUUAAGUGUUACCGGUUAAAGUGAUGGAUUGUCAUCCCCUCAUCUUUGCUGAAGUGUUCAUGACUACAGUGAUCCAAUAGGAGGCCAUUUUGUGCCUUGAUUAGCUCUGAGUUGAACUUCUAAGCGAGAUUGCUUAAAUCUUGCAUAGCUAAUUGUCACACCCUACUCAAAUUACGCCUCACUUGAGCUUAUAUGAGGACAAGAAGCUUCCAACAUAACCUAGAGACAUUUACACAUCUCAUAAAUGGGUAGGAAUCCUUGGAGUUAUUUGGAGUAUUCUUGAGAAUUAUUUUAAGCUCUUGUAAGUGGCUUCUAGAGGAGGCCCCAUUUGCCCUAGGCACCAAGCCUUGUAAAGCAUUCUUGUAUAAUACAACCUUCCAUUCUUUCAAACUAUGCAAGUGUUGCUUGCUUUGUUCAUCUCCAACUUCUGUGUUGCAUGAUGUUGUUUAGCGUAAAAAGCUAAGUUUGUGAAAGGCUGAUUUUGCAAGUUUGAGCACUUUGAGUUAUUUAUGUGUUGCUUACUUUGUUCAUCUCGAACUUCCAUGUUGCAUAAUGUUGCUUAGCAUAAAAAGCUAAGUUCGUGAAAGGCUGAUUUUGCAAGUUUGAGCACUUUGAGUUAUUUAAGUGUGCCACAAGUGCUUAGAAAACACCUAAAUCUAUGACAUAAUGGUGGGAUGUUGUAGCCAACCCUCUUUACGAGCUAGAUGCGCCUAAUGGGCCCAUUGGUGCAAGCAUUGAGCUUGUUUGAGCUCCCUAGGCUUGUCUAUACUUUUGGCUUGGUUUUGGGCUUCAAGGUACACCCCUUCACAUAGGGCCUCAGUCACUGGGACACAAUGGCCCCAUGUUGCUCUUGGAUGGCUUGAUGUUGGAGGCAUUUUAGAGGCAUGACUUAUAAAAAUACCCACUCAAGUAGGAAUAGUUAGGAAAACUGGUGAGAGCUUCUAAAUACUUCACAUGGAUGCCAAUGCUAUUUUAGAACUACUUGCAUUUGGAUACAUAUUACUUAUAUGUUAAUAAUGAGUGUUAAACGUACCUUGUUCUGAGGGGUUUAUGUUCCUUGGCUGCAAAGGGACCAGCAAUCUGGAUUUGACCUAGCAAGGGCUGCAUCAUUUUUACCGUCAAGUAGUAAUUGCAUGUGGGCUGGACACAUUGUAGGCAUAGGUUAUCCAUGCCUGUCAUAUUGAUCUUUCUACCAUUUUGUAACAGAAGGAAGAUCCACUUGGUGAGAUGGGAGGUUACUUGUAAAGAUAUGAGGCAUGGAGGGUUGGGGUUAAGGUACUUGAAGGAUUUCAAUCAUGCUUUGCUCGGGAAAUGGCUAUGGAGAUUUCCUAUAGAAAGGGAGAGUUUGUGGAGAAGAGUCAUUGUUGGUAAAUUUGGGGAGGUACAAGGUGGGUGGACCACUAGAGAGGUGAGAGAGUCUUACGGGACGGGCCUUUGGAAAGACAUUAGGAAGGGCUGGGAGGAAUUCUUUCUCAGAACUAGGAUUCAUAUUGGAAAUGGGAGACGUACCAGAUUUUGGUGGGACAUGUGGGUAGGAGAUUCUAAGCUAAAGGAUCUCUUCCCUUUGCUGUUUAGAAUUGCAGCUAAUAAUUCUGCAAUAGUGGCUGAUCUGUGGGGAAGACAAGAAGGUGGAGGUGGGGGUUGGGAGGUGCACUUUAGAAGACCCUUUCAAGAUUGGGAGUUAGAGGAGGUGAACCGCUUUUUGGGUUACAUUUCUGCAGUAAGGGUGCAAGAAGGGGAAGAUUUUCUGGUUUGGAAAAUUGAGAGAAAAGGAACGUUUAAGGUAAACUCUUAUUAUAGGUCUUUGAAGGAAGACAAUAGCCCUUUAUUUCCAGUAAAGGAGGUUUGGGGUUCGUAUGCCCCUUUAAGAACUCGUUUUUUUGCUUGGGAAGCAGUUUGGGGUAAAAUUUCCACUAUAGAUAUGCUGAUGAGGAGGGGUUGGUCUAUGGCUAAUAGAUGCAACCUGUGCAAAGAAAAUGAGGAAACGGCAAACCACAUCCUAAUUCAUUGUGGUAAGACAAGGGAUCUUUGGAACUUAUUGUUUUCUUCGUUUGGGGUGGUGUGGGUGCUCCCGGAUUCCGUGAGAAAUUUGCUUCUUGAGUGGAAAAUGAAGGGCAUGGGGAAGAAAAGGAGUGUAGUUUGGAAAAUGGCGCCUAUUUGUCUGUUUUGGUGUAUUUGGGGAGAGCGAAAUCAAAGAACCUUCCUAGAGGAAGAGAUGACAAACACGAGCUUGAGGAAACUUUUUCUUCGGUCCCUGCUUGAAUGGUCUCAACAAUUUGUGGACUUGGACUUGGACUAUCUAUCUUUUCAGAAUUUGAUGGGUGAUAGGGUUGUUGCUUAGCUAAUCCUUUUUAGUCUUUAUUUUUCCCUUGUUGCCUUGUUUUUGGGCCUUCUUUGUAUACAACCUGUGUACUUAGGGAGUGCCCCCUGUUUUCUGGCGUUUUUUUAAUCUAUUGGUUCUCUUUGUCUAUCAAAAAAAACCAUUUUGUAACAGAAAAAAGGUGCUGUUUUCUUUCCAUUUCACAGGCUUUUCAAGGAACCUUAUAAAGUUUGGAUCUGAAUAAUGCUGUCUGAAGCUAUUUAUUUUUGGCCCAAAAUCACGUAUACAUAUCACACACAUCGUUGGGAGAGUGUUUAGUUUUUCAGUUUUGAGGAUGGUUCUUUUACAUUUUAUAGAUUGUUGCAUUAGGCUCUGUAGGUUGUGCUGUUAAUUCUCUUGAUUGAACCUGUACUUUUGCUGGGUCAUGAGCUUAGCGCUAUCAUCUAGGUUACUCAUGGGUGUGUAACUUGUAAGAUCGCUUGCUGAUUUACACCAGCAUUCUGUCACUAGUUUUUCACUUUUUUGUCAUAUUCAAUGUAUCUUUUGCAAAGGUCACUAGCUUUUAAUACUUUUAGAGAAUGUUUGGUAGAUUAACUUAAUAGCUUAACAUAACUUAAUAACUUAAUUUAAGUAGAUUAAAUAUGUUUAGUUGAAUAACUUAAUAUCACAACUUAAAAUAAAAAAUAACUUUAAAUAUUAAGUCAAAAUAAUUAACUUAUUCUUAAUCUCAAAUCUCUUUUGCCUUAUUUGUCCAUGUUUAGUGAGGGUAUGUUUUACUUUACAUCCACAACUCAUCUUUUAUAGUAAGUAUUUUUGUAGUAUCUUAUGCAUCUAUAAUAUUUUAAAUAUGGAUGUUUAACAAAUAAAUUUAUUGCUUACGAUUAGUGAAAGCAUAAAUAUUAGUUAAAAUUAAUGCGGGUAAAUAUGUCAAUUUAAUGAUUUAGAAUAAAUUUUAAGUUAACAAUUUAAAAGUAAUUUAACUUAAAGUUAACUUAAGUAAAGAAGUAAUAAUUAUCACCCUCUUAGUCUCUUUAACAUUUUCCCCAAAACUCCUAUCCUGUGUUCCACUACUUAAUGAACCUGCUGCAUUCCAAUUUUAAGGGGGAAAGAGCAUUAGAAAAGAGGAAGUAUUUCAUAGUUGAUUUGCUGUUACUUGUUGGUUCAGGCUGCAAAAAUCCUUGCGAACUUGGUUGUUAUUGGAUCCGGAAUAUUAGCAAGAGCUUUAGUUCAAGCAUAUCGUCAGGCACUUGCAAGUAUGUGUCUUUUUUGGUUUAUUUGUGCAUCUAGUCAUGUUUUGUUUCCUUUAGUUCUAUAUCUUAUUCUGAACUCAUAUAGCACAUAAUUCCAAAUAUUUUCUCUAUUGGGUACACUUCAAUGUCUUUUAUUGUUGUUCUAUCUCAGACCUCCUGCCUUUUUUGGGUUCAUUACUUUUGUGUGGUUGCUUUCAGAUGCCUCAAAAUCUGGUGUUGCUCAAGAAACAGUACAGAACAUCAGGAGAGGAAGCAAAAUAAUGGCUGAACUAGAGGCAAGGCAGAUUCUAGGUGUCACUGAGCAUUCAUCGUGGGAGGAAAUCUUACAGGUUUGUCUCAUAGCUUAAUACAGUUUAUUAUUUUGCAGUGUCCACUCUAUUAUGUCAGCACUAGGUUUUCAUGAGUCUUAUGUGAAAAGACAUCAUGUUUCCCUGAAUGCAGAAGUACGAUAACUUGUUUGAGCAGAAUGCUAAGAAUGGCAGCUUUUACCUCCAAUCAAAGGUUCAUAGAGCUAAAGAGUGUUUAGAAUCUGUUUAUUAAAGGAAUGGCCAAGGGACUCCAGAUACCUAAUUUAUUAGAGGUAGCCUGCUGCUUUUUGUUUUCUGUUGUUUGGUUUUUUCUUUCUAAAAAUCCUUAUAAUCAUUCAAAGUUUGCAUUAUUGUAGUUUCUUAACUUCUUCUUGUUGUUGUUUUUAUUGUUAUUAUUUUAUCUCCAUUUCAAUGCAUUGCAUUCAUUUUAUCAUUUGUAAGCCAAAUUUUAACUCCUAGUGCACUAACUCAGUGAUAUUCCUAAUGUGCACUGGCAUGACAUUCCCUCUGACAGCAUUCUAUGAAGUAUGGCAUACAUUUUGGGAUUGCUGAAUUAGUGCUGCGCAUUGGAGUUGUUUAAUAUCAUAUAAUCUCAAAGGUUCACUGUUUUUUGUGCUUAGUGAACUCCUUUAAAGCUAAAGUCCCUAGAUCUUUUGGAGAUGACAUAGAAUAUUAGAAAUUCUCUGAGGUCUAGAACACGUUUAGAGCAUAUGUUUAUGUGAGUUUUCAAUUGUAGAUAUUAUGUUUCCUGAUGUUAGAGCAAAGGAUGAAAAUAUCAGAAAUUGAUGGAAUAUCGGUGGUUAAAUUUUAUGAAAAUUUUGGGAAAUAUAAAAAAUAUCAAAUGGAAAAUUGGAAAAAAAAUAAUGGUGGAUGGAAACUGAUCAAAACUCAUAAAAAUGUGGGAAAAAAUUUCCAAGAAAAGAUAAAAUAAGUAAUUACACUCAUGUUGAAGUUGUUUUAUUAAAGAAAACAAUAUGUAUGAUAAGGCAAUAAUAUGUAAUACUCAAAAAUACAUUUGAUAUUAAAAUGAUGAUUUAUGUAGUUUGGAUGUACCCAAGGAUGUAAAAGAAAUGGUUUUAUGUCUAAUUAUUUUUUAUUUAAAAAUAUUUAUAAUUUUAUUUUCAAGUUUAUAUUUCUCUUGUAUUUCGUAUUAAAAGACACCCAUUGAAAAGAUUAUCAUGCAGAAAUUUGAAAAUAAAAUAAUUAAAAUUUAUUUAUGCAUUAAUUUUUAAUAUUUUAGAUAAGAUAAUGUAUAUAUUUUAUGUACAUUAAUAAUUAUAGAUCAAGUGUGGCUUGGAGAUAAAGCCACGUGUAAGCCCCAUUUCUUAACUUUUAAAAAACAAAUUUAAGAGAAAUUAGCCUAUGUGGAUUUUAAUGAGAAAAUCAGUUCCAGAUUUUCUUUCUCCCUUCUCCUACACCCAACACUUUGGAGAAUUUUGUCAAAACUUUCAUCCCUGGUUAGAGGACAUGUUUAUGCUAAUGUUCAUUUGUAUGUAUGUUUUGGUACUUGGUUUACAUGUGCUGAGGCUGCAUAUUAUACCAUGGUUUGUGGAGUCAAAAGUGCACUUUACACCAGUUUAAAAGAAAAACCCUGAGAUUUAGAAUGAUAAUUUUUUACACCCCUUUGCUAUUAUGUUUUGGCUGCACAACUCUUCUUGUUUUCGCAACAAACGCACUAUUAUGCAGUGUUUGUACACAAAUUAGUAUGUCAAAAUGAUCCGAUCUCCACACCCCCUCAAAAAGAAAGCGUACUACUUCAGUUAGUUUGGUAUCCAAUUAAUCAUUUCUUUGUCGUUUUAAUUUUAUUUUUACACAUGCAUAGUCAUGGUAAAAUCAUUAGCAAGGGAUUGGAUUUUUGGGCCUGAAUGUAACCUUCCCAGUAUUCAUGUUUUUUAUUUUUAUUUUUGCUGGUCUAGACAAAUGCUCAGGUUUCUCUUCUUAAUCUGUUUGUGAAAUUAUUUUCACUGCAAAAACAAUUUAGAUAUGCUUUAUAGUUUAUUAACCAUCAUUUCCCUGCUGUAUGAGCCCAAGUAUGAUGAAUGAAAAAAUAUCUUUAAGUAUAGUAAUGAAGAACAAUUAUUUGAGUAUUAUUAAAGUAGUUGUGUUAAGAAAUUUUGCUAUAUUUUUUUAUAUGGAAGAAAUUAGCAGGCAUGAGGGCCUGGUUGGGCCUGAACUUUGUGUCAACUGAACCAUUUAGGCCUGGCCAUAUUGACCUGAUCCUGCACAAUCCUUCUCUCUAUUUUCAUCCCAAGUUUUGUCUACAAUCUCACCUAGGUUGCCCCCAAGAAUGAGCGGAUGCAAAUUUGGGACCCCACCAUCAAUACCCAGAACAAUGCUCUGCACCGCCCAUUUGACAUUAUUUCUUUUUAAUUUCAGAAUAAUCACAUUCAUCUAUUGCCGUGGUUGGUUUGAUUUCAAAACUGUCUACUAAAUUAUUGGAUGCAGGGGCUUUGGUUACAAAUGUCAAACAAUAGUGAUGACUUGCGGCAAGGCAUUGUUGGUGGAGCCAGUGAAGCUGGGAGAAUCAAAUGAUUCUUGUUCAUGAGACAAUGAGAUUGAUUUAAUAUGGAGAAUGUCUUAAUCUCCAAGGAGUUCUGUUGACAUUAGAUGCAGUGAUCGCCGGCAGUGCAUUGAAGGGUUCAUUCUUCCUCCAUUCUUGACAGCGUGACUAAAGUUUUAAGAUUGUUCAUCUAUUCUGCCCAAUUUUUUGUACAACACUUCUGAGGAAGACCAACAUGGUAUGCUGACCCAACUUGUACAUUUGCUCACAAACCUAAAACUCAAAAAAAAAAUGUUUUUUGUUGACUGUCGUACUCGAACUAAAGAAUAUAUGUGAAUGCAGUCCGAUAUUUUUUACAGCGUGACAGGCAACCACUGGCCGCAAAGUUUGAAAGUGGGUCGGCACAAGUCAUCUAUCUAGCUGGGGUGGCGCCCCCUAGUGAUAAUAACAUCAUUUAUAUACACAAAUAGUGGUUGACCCAUUGCCACCCAAAAUCCACGCCAACACGCUCCUAGUUGGUAGCUGUGGUGGGACUCUCCAUCGCACAUCCUCUCAACUCUCAAGUAGGCAAACCAUCGAUGCAUCGGUCAGUGGCUAGUAUCCCAAAAAAUGCCUGAGGCCUGCCCUUGUUACACAUUUCACACUUGGUGUGUGAAAUAAUUGAUGUCAUAUUAUUUUCUUGAAGUGUGAUAAGAAAAAAGAAUGAUAUAUUCUGUUGUUUACCAAUCUUAAAUGCGGCGUCUCCGCACACGGUAUUAUCGAUGCUUGCCACUUGCCGCCCAACUGGAUGGAUGGCGCUCUCCCAUUGCCCUUUUUGUUAGGCAAGUCACUACUCCCUUUGUUCUCUCUACUGUAUACUCGAUUAAACUGCUUUCUCUGCGGAAAAUGAUAAAGAAAAGGAGCCGCAAGAAAUGAGAAUUUCAGUGAUGAGGCAAUGUUUGCUCCCCUCAGAGAAAGAAAGGACAUACAUUAAAUAAUUAAAAGAAUAAAAUUUCAAAAAGAAAGGCGGCCAGGUGCAAAUGAUGGGAAUUUGAAAAAGGAAAAGCAAUAUUUUUUACAUUUAAGAAACAAUCCCAAGCAUUACUUAAAAUUCAAGCAAUCUUUAAUAUAAUGUUCUUUCCUUUAUUUUUUCCUCUUUUGGUGGGUAAGUGUCAUGUAAUCUUAUUCCAUCUGAGAACUAAACGUCUCUAAUGAAUCCCAUUAUGUUAUUGGUUGGGGAGAAUGUUCAUGGGAGACUCAAGACAUGGUCAUUAAUCCAGCCAAAAAGGCUGAGUCACGUGUCACACAAUGAUCAAAGAGAGCCGCUGGCUUUGACUUUGUCGUUCACAGCCGAUAUUAAUGACCACAGCCCACCACGCUAGUCUGCAGUUGGGACUUUCAAACGUCUACGACAUUUGUGUGUGAAUAUAGACAGCUGCAAGCCUUAGCCGCACGCCCGUGUACUCCCUUCCCUUUUUCUUUUGGCACAUAAAACUGAAGUAUAGAACAUUCUCCCGCGUCUCUAGAUUUAUCAAAAGGCUAAAACGUUUUAAUUGUAUCAAGUGCAACCUUGCCCUCUUAAGCCUUGGGAGUAGAAUGGAAGUCUGCCUCUUCAUACCGUAUUUUGUGUGAUUGCGAUUGCAAAUAGAAUCAAAGCGUGAGAGUGAACUAACACAUAGGGUCACAAAAGCCUAGCAGGCUCUCUAUCAGAGGCGCAUAAUUUCAUCCACCAUUCCCUACCUACUCUGAAACUAUAGGUGUACAUAAUAAUAUAUGUAUUUUCAUUUCUAACUUAGGACUUACAUUGAUGUAUCAUCCCACAGGCUUCAACCCAAAAAAACAAAGAAAAAAAAGUUUCUAUACUUAUAAAGAUAGAUUCAUCUUAUAUUUUAAUUUAAAAUUAGUUAUGAGUUUGAUCAUAAUUAAUAGCAUCACAGCCGAAUCCAUAAUUGAAUAGAAAUUCAAAUGGAAUAUGGGUUUUAGUAGCAUAACAAACUCUAAUUGGUGUUGAAUGAGACUUAUUAUCGAAGUGAUCAUUCUAGUAUUGCAUAGGGUGGGCUGUUUUAAGAUUUUAUUUUAUUUUUAUUUUUUUGGUCAAUGAAUUAUAAAACUAGCACUGUUUGUAGGUGCAACCUAUUUCUGGCCAGAAUCCAAAUGUAAAAUAGGAAGCCGGUUUCCAUCAUUUUCAGAAUCCUACUUUGAGACACGUAGUUUGAAUAAGUAUGGUUCCGCCGCUUCCGCGUACCAUUUUGAGAAUCUUGAGACUUCUGCUUGCACUUGGCCCUAGGAGUAGGACAUUCAUCUGCUGUACUGCUAAACAAGAGCAAGGACACCACCCUUUUUCUGAGGUUGAUUUACCAAAAACGAAUGGCUAGUUGGCUACCCACCAAAAAAUAAAAUCAAUCACAACUUACAUACGUACAAUUACAUAGUUUGGUAAGGUUUCAUAAUUUUACAUUUGAGUCUAGUUGUUUACAUUUUGAUCACAUUUAUUUGUAUAUGUAUUUAUACUUCAUACACUAUUUUCUAAGGAUUUAGAUUUUACCAUAUAUUUUCAAAUUGGUACCAAAUGAAUUAUUUUUCAAUUGGUACAUUCUUUUGUAUGUUUUUAAUUGCUCAUUGUUAUUGAAUGGUUGACUGCUUUCUUUCUGUCCAUGGGCGGUGGAGUUGGCGUGGGGUCUAAACCCAUUAAAGGGUCCAACUGGAGACCGGAAUACUUCCCAUCUGAGUGGGGACUCUUUGGUGUCUCAAUAUCUAAUGAAGUCAUCCAGUCGCUGGAACCUCAAUUCAAAUUGAUCAAAAGCCAUUGUCCGUGAAGAGGUUGGCAUGCAUGUUAUAAUUAAAUUAGCAUCAGUGGAAGACCCACUUGCCAUCACACUAUGGCAACUUUAGAUGUUAUCAUCUCCAAUAUUUAAGUUGGAACUCAAGCUCCAACCUCAUACUGCCUGAGAGAUGGCAGCUUGUUAAGCAUAUCAUCAAUCUAUCUUCUCUUUCUUUCAUAUUGCAGUUCCACCUUAAACCCAUCCAUUUUCUUUUUCCCUUUUUUGGCAGAUAAAUCUCUACAACAUUAGACAUAUAGAGUAGAAUCACUUCCAUGCAUUGUGGGUUCUCUUUUUCACUCUUAAACUCAAGACAAAGAUCAAUAGGCAAGGGUUUAAGCUUAAAAAUAAAAAAUAAAAAAUAAAAAUAAGACAACAUAACCGAAAUUCACAUCUUUUACUGCAACCCUUCUUAAAGGGAUUAUUGGGAAUACUAAGUACCCUCUUUACUGACCUUUUCAGUCAUCUCUCCUGUUAUUGUGAGGGUCGUUGCUAGAAGAACUUCCAAACAGUGAUGAAAAUUGUAGAAGUUGUGGUUGUUGUAAUUCUUCUUCUUCUCGUUGUCGUCUUCGCUGAUGGUGUUGUGGAUGAGAGGUUGUAGAAGAAGAUGAAGAUGUAGUUGACAAAGACUGCGUAGUAGAAGCUUCUCUACCAUAAAGACUGGACAUAGCAUGAUUUAAAUCACCACCUCCACCUGGAAGGAGCUGAGCAUAGUGAUGAAGAUUGGGAUAUGACGGUCGAGGGAGGGAUGGAUGAGGAAGAGGAGGAACAGCAGGGUUGGGAAGCUGUUGUUGCUGAGGAAGAAGGAAGUCUUGACGAUUUGUGAGGUAACCUAAUUCGCUUCGGCCUUGAACUCUUUCAGGGAAGUUAAGCUUGGCUUUGUUUCCUUUGAACCUAAGAGCAGCUUCAUCAUAGGCAAGUGCAGCAUCCUCAGCAGUGUCGAAAGUGCCCAGCCAUACUCGAGCUGCCUUAUUUGGAUCACGUAUCUCAGCUGCCCACUUCCCCCAAGGUCUUUGCCUUACUCCCCUAUAGUGUCUUCUCCUCAGCUGGUUCCCUUCAUUCACACAAAACCACAUUUCUUUAGUUUAAUUAUUUGUAUUCUCUUAAAUCGCUUCAUAUUCAAACUUAGGUUACAACUUACACCACCCUCUAUCCUCUCUUCUCUCCACCCCUUUCAGAAACCUAAAUGAAAUUUUUGCUUCCUAAAUAUCUUCAUGCAUUGUGUUAUACAAAGCUUACAGUCUUGAUUACUCCAAACCGACCAAAACAUGUGAUUGCCCACAAACAAUUACAUUCUAGAAACAGUGGAAAUCAAAUCAAAUCAAAUCAAAUGGGGCGUGAGAGGAGGAGGAAAACGUAUUGGGUUGAAAGAAGACAGACAAACAACACAGUAAGAUGCAUGCAGCGAAAGAUUUUAUAUGCAAAUGAAAAUAAAUCAGUCAAACCUGCACCAUUUCUUCUGACUAAAAAUAUAAAGAAAAAAACUUCACAAAGAGUUGUAAAAUCCAAGAUAGGAAUAUACAUAUGAUACAAAACGAGUUGGACGCCAUAGGUAUGGUCAUUCGACUGGUAUAUAUAUAUACCCAGCUCAUUAAUCCUGACUACAGCAGCCUUGAUGUCUAAAUUUUAUUAUUAUCUUCAGUAGUUAAUGAAAGAUAGAAAGGAUUUGAUUAUUAUAUAACAUGAAUUAGUGGAGCACUUAGGGUACGAGUACCUUGAUCUUGAAGAAGCUGAGAAGGUUGAUCAUGUGGGGUUGUGGCGGAGUGGUGGGAGAUUGGUGAUGGGUUUCCAAGAUCAUGAAGUGGGUUUUUGUCAGUGUUUCCAAUGACUUGAGUGAGAGCUGAAACCAUAGCGGACAUGUCUUGUUGGGAGCGGGCUGAGUAGACAGGGAAGAUAUGAUCUUGAUCCUCUUUCUCCUCCGCUUCAUCGGAAGGAAGAGGCCUCUUCCCAUGUCUCCGAUCCACCUUAUAAGCCUCUGAAACCACCCUUAAUUUAUUGCUAUCAAAUUCAUGCACCGAAUCUUUAUCAAGUGCUGUUUUUCAGACGAUGCGGGUGUCAGUCAAAUCAACACAAGAUGUAUAUAUGAGUGUAAAGGGCGAUGAAGAAUGAACGAUACCCAGAAGAAAAAGAGGGGUCAGGACCGGGAGAGAAAUAUAGGGUUUCCUCAGUCUAACCAUAUAAGACCUGUCCCUGUUUCCCAAUGCUAUCUAGCUAGGUGUGAAAAGCUAGUAGUGAUGUUACAAAAGUCAGGUUCGCUCCUUCGACUCCCCCUUUUUUUUUUCUUUUUUUAGCAGACAAGCUAAAGUUCAUAUUUAUUCACAUUAACUUUUAUUAUUGGGAUGGAUUUCAGAAUUUUCCUAGAAAUAAUCAUGAGUGAUGCUGCUAGCCUUCUUAUUAAAUCUAUGUUCAAAUUGCUUUUUUCAUUUUGCAUGAUAUAUAUAAUAAUGAUAAUAAUCAUGGACUUUUUCAAAAUAUUUAUAGAAGUAAAGAUAUAUUUUUAAAAUUAAUAAUAAUACAAAACCAAAGUUUUCAGUUUGCAAAUGUACUGGUUAAUUAAUGCUUCAACACUUGUAUUAUCACGUAAACGAUGGGAAAUUGGAUGAGAGAAAUCAAUGUUUUCAAAUUUGAAGAGGUCAUGGGUCAUUGAUUGGGUUGUUAGUUGAUCAAGAGGGAUUAAAUUGUGAUACUCACGUGAUAUCAUAAUUAAAAGAUUUCUUAAUUAAUUUUUAACCUUCACAAUGCAUUAGCUAAAUAUAAGUUGGCCAUUUUAAUUCAAAUAUUGUUUAUUGGUCUGAGUCCAUCUACUUGGACGGAAUUUUUCAGCUUCAAAUGUUUCAGUUGCGUUGAACAGUAAACUAUGAGGCAGCUAAGUAUACAGUAGGACAUUUUGGUAUGUUCAAAGGUUCAUAUUGGCAUUUUGAAAAAUGGGUUGAGAAAAUGAAAAUUGCGUGGAGUUCUCAACUAGUCUCAAGCGCCUCUUAGGGCCCAAGAGCAUAUGAAUUUUGCCUUUUUAAAUAAUUAUGAAAAUCCAUAUUGUACCUUGCUCCAACCCGUCCAAUAGGGUGUACUCCAUAUAAACAUGUGCCAAAAUCAUGAUGUGUUUAUUAUAUUACAUUGUGAUUAUCCUAUUAAGAUACGCCCUAUCUCAAAUAUUGGUUGGUAGUCAAUCACAUCGAUCACUUUAGUAAGAAUUUGAGGUGUUCAUUAAGAAAUACUGCAUGUUACAUCAACAAUGUGAAUGUAGAAUAUUGGUAUUGGUCAAACUAAGUCCCUUGGGAAAAGGUAGUGUUUGAGUUCACAUAAAUUUGUAUACUUACUUUGUGGAAUUACUCUAUAUAUAAUUUAAUAGAUCCUUGGCUUUUAUUUCUAUGGGGUUUUUGUGAGAAUCUAUAGGCAGUUUUCAUAUACAUCAUUUGUUGUCUCUUGGUGUCAUGGAUCGUUUUUUUUUAUUUUCAUCUUAUUUUUCGAUAAAUUGAAUGACAAAGAUAAUUGAGAAUUAUUAGAAAUAAGUUUUUUUGGACUCACUAACCUCUAGAUGGUUUCAUGAAUCAAGAAGCGGAUUAAAUUUUAAAAUCAUUUUUUUCUUUGAUUCCUACUUAUAUUCUUUAUUCAUGAAAGCAUAACAAGUGAGAUCAUCCUUUAACAAUCAACUCUCUAUUUUGAUGGAAAUACUUAUCCCUAUUAGAAAACCAUAUAAAAAUGAAAAAUGAAUAAGUUUGGGAUGGCAUUGAGAGAUCUACUAUUGAAGUUAAGCCCAAAUAUCAGAAAGAUAAACUUGAUAAUGGAGCUAAUGUCAGACCUCACUAUAGAAUUUUUAAUGGUAUGAGUCCAAACUAGUUUUGUGGGAUAGCAACAUAUAAACAUGCUAAAGAGAUCUAACAUAUUUUAUCUAUCACAAUAAGGUUUUGUUUCAUUUAUGAAGUUGUCUAAAAUUUAUAUGUAAUCAUUAUGUAAGGGUCUCCAACGGGCCGGGCCGGGCCACCCGGCCCGGAAAAGUAAGGCCCAUGGCCCAGCCCAAGGCGGGCCACUGAGCCCGUUGACUGGUCAACGGGCUGGGCCCUUGGUAUAUCUAAGGCCCGUGGCCCAACCCGUGGGCCCUCAAGCUGGGCAUGCUGGGCGUGCUGGGUGAGCUUGGCGGGCCAGGCUGGCGAGUUGAGGUAAAAAUAAAAAUAAUUUUCAGUUUUGAAGGGAAGGGGAUUCAAUCCCCUUCCCUUAUGGAACCAUAAGGGAGCUAGCCACUAACUGAGCUAGGCCUCUUUUGUGUAAUUAUUUUGCAUUAGUUAUAUAUAUAUAUAUUAGUUAUAUACGAGCGAGCCUAUGGCCCUAAAUUGGGGCCCACAGCCCGGCCCAUCAAAAAAUGGGCUGCGGGCCGGGCCGGGCUACGGGCUGGGCCGGGCCGGGCUACGGGCUGGGCCGGGCUGCGGGCCGCGGGCUUUUUGGAGACCCUUAUCAUUAAGUUUGAAAAUAUAAGAAUAGAAGAAGAUAAAAACUGAUGUAAUCCAUUCAAGUUUCAAUCUAUAUGAGAAUGUCUAAGAAUCAAGACCAAAAAUAAUAAUAAUAAUCCUUAUAUCUAUUCCUAAGAGAUUUAGACCUAAAGUAAUUACUAUAAAGGAAAGAAAAUAUAUAUUGACUCUAUGAGAAUUGAUUGAUUUAUUAGGUCACUUCAACAAUAUAAGAUGUCCAUGCCUACUUCAAAGAAGCCUAAGAGAGCAACCUUUAAAGCAGUUAUGAAUGAAGAUGUUGAAUCUAAAAAGCUUAAUUGGUAGUGUUCUUUUUUAGCUUUAUUUGUACUCUAAGAAAUUUAUAAAAAAAAAUAAUAAUGCAAGCUCAUAAAAAAUAUCUUGCAAGUCAUAUUCAGAUAAGGAAAAAAAAUCCAAAACAAAGCAAAGAGAGAAGGAAAAUAUUUCGUAUAAGCAAAAAAAAUAAAAAUUGAAAUGUUUUAAUGAGGGAGGAAUAUGACAUAUGGCAUCUCAUUUCCCAAGUCCUAAAAUUAAUGAGAAGGCUAUAAUGAUUUUGAUGACAUUCAAUUACCUAUGAAGCUUUACAUGAAGAAAGCUUGAAAAUCAAGGUUGAGUGUUAAAAUUUGUAAGAAAACUCUUAGAAUUAAAAAAUGUUAUGAUUCUUUAGACUUUGAAAACACUAAUUUACUUCAUAAAGUUGACACUCUUGAAUUUCAGGAAAAAAAAACAUUUGCUUGGUAAAAUCUCCAAUGAAAUUAUCAAUAAAAGGAAAAUUAAUCCAUGAUAAAGCAUAAACUUGGUAACAUAAAUAAGGUUAUAUAAGAUUUCUACUAGUAGGAAAAAAUGAUUGUAAAAGUCAAGGACAUCGCUCUAAUUGUGAAGGCAUCCUUAAGUACCAUUUUUUUUUUCCUACCAUUCGUAAUAAAUUUAAAAGUGUGUAUAAUAAGUGGUUCUAUGAUGGAUUUUAGUACCAUGUUAAUAGACGAUUAAAUGAAUCCAACUUCUUUUAAAACCAAAAUUUGAACAUAAAGAAGGGUAGAGGAUCUCACACUAGCUAGUUCUAGGAAUAGGAAAAGUCAAGUAGGCACACCUCUAAAAAUUAAGCAAGUUUGGGUUAAUAAAAGCAAUCUUAAUUUUAAUGUAAUGUUUAGCUAAAGUACCAUGUGAUUGGUAACUAUAUGGUGGUUAUUCAAGGCACAUGAUAGGGGUAAGUCAUUUUUUGCUACCUUUAAAGAGUUUAAUGGUGAUAAUGUGACAUUUGGUGAUGAUAGUAUUGGUUAAGCCAAAAGGAUAGACUCUAUUUGCAUAUUCGGUUGUCCCAAACUUAGUGAGGUUCUUUAUGUUGAAAGAUUAAACAAAUUUGAUUAGUAUUAAGUAAAUUUGUGAUAACAAUCUUAGUAUAAUGUUUUUAUAAAUAGGUGCAACAUUUUAGAUGAGGAAAGGAAGUGUAUUUGCAUAGUGCACAUCAUUAUGGAUAUAUAAUUGUUAUACAAUUAAUCCUAAUAUUAGUUCUUCCUUGGUAUACAACAAUGUCUGAGUUAACCGUGUAAAGUUAUGCCACAUGAGGCAAUGACACAUUAAUUUUAAGGAUUUGGUUAAGAUAUUUUAAGUCACGGCUCAAACUUAUUAAACAUAGAGCUUAUGGGUUCAAUACACAUAAAAGAGUAUAGGUGUUAAGAAGUGUGUCCUAGAUAUAGUUGAUAAGUUAUGUAGAUACAUCUUUGUAACCUUUCUAAGGGAAAAUUUUGAGGCAAUUAAAGGCUUUAAGACAAUUUAAAACUCAAAAUGUGAAAAGACAUCUUAUUUGGAGGAUUAGAGUGAUGGAAGGAGAGUAUUUAAUAGUGUAAACUUUGAUUACUUGUGAUAAUAAAGGCAUAAAAGUGCAAAUUCUCGACGCCAAAACACCUUAAUAAUAGAAUGAGGUGGUUGAAAGAAAGAACAUAAUUCUCCAAAAGAAUGUAGUUUUGGAAUACAUCCUCAAAAACCAAUUGGUAAAUAUUAGGACAACCUUUUUAAGUCUUUAAGUUUGAAUGAUUUAGAAAAUGUUUAGGGGUCUAUCUAUUCUUGGGAAUGAUAUCUAAUCUCUAAUUUUAAGAUGGGGAGAAAUCUUUUUGGAUCUUAGGGCUAAUUUUCUGUCAAUUACUUUAUUUAUCAUCACUUUCCUAAAAGGAUAGAAUAUCAUUAGAACAUUGAAUUUUCCAUUAAAAGGUUUAUUCUGCUGUGUCUUGUGUUUUGAAUUUGAAUCCUCUCAAUUCGCUAUAAGAAUUUGGUCGUAAAGUAAAGAGAUUUAUGAGGCAAAGAUCAAUAUCAUCAUAAGUCUUCUUAGUUGUUCUAAUGUGUGAGGUUACAUUUCAGGUGAUGUAUAUGAACAUCCUUCAAACUUUCCACAAUAUAUAUUUUCUCCAAGUGAAAAAAGAAGUUAACUAAUUUAUCUUUAGAACGGGAAUGCUAUGACUUGCUACCCAUAUCAUAUGUGGGUGGAAAGUGGAAUAGGCUAUUUUCAAGGUGGAGCCUCUAUGACAACCCUUUCGGCUUUCCCUAUGUUUUGUGAUUACUUACUGCUAAUAAAAUUAAAACUAUUUCAUUUAUUUUUUUAUUAAUAAAGAAUAAUAAAGAAAACAAAAAUUAUCGAAAUAUUCUGAAGUUUGGAAAAUUAGGACGUUUAUUUUUUCAAAUCAACUUCUAAACAAACUUAUGCCAAAAAGGAUUUUCCAAUUAAAAAUAAACAAGUAAAAGUUGGAAAAUUUUGAGAAAUAGCUCAAAAGCUCAAGCUUUAGUGCAGUGCAACUGUUUGUGGAAUUUAAGAUAUUUAAGGACCAAGAGUUAAUUGAAGAAAAAAAUUCAUUGUCUUUGUUAUUUUAUUUUUAAUUUUUUUUCUGAAAGAUUUCAUACAAGUAUAUAUAUAUAUUUUAUCCAAAAUCACUUGAUGAUUUAAGGGGCAUUUUUUAUGGACGUGGUAUGUAAAAAUUUGCUUCUAGUUCAACUAUAUAUUUUAAGAUAAAUAUAAUUCAAACUUGCACAUUAAUUAAUACAAGAUAAAAGUAUAGGUUAAGCUACAAGUGAACGCCUAAAUCUGAUAAAAUUUUAAAUCCAUGGUUUGGAUGGCAUAUCUUCCAUAUGAGGUUGGGCUUUUAUAGGAAAAUCCUAGUAAUCAAAUACCAAUGCUUUUGGAUUUGAAUACUUUAAAGCCCAUAUGAAAUGGAUUUCAGAUGUAGAGAUGUGACAGGUCCAGGUCCAAAUUCACAAUGUAACAUGUGCUCCACAUGAAAUCCUAGCUUUCUUUUUUAUGUUCUAUUUAGUCGUUAGAACAUAUGCUCACAGUGUAUGUAUAUCAUGCUAACAUCACACAAAUCAACAUGAGAUAAAUAAACGAGGGCCAUAAGACAAAUUGGAGACCUCUGAAUAAUCAAAGCUACAGUAUCACGUUUAGCUAUCAAAUUUUCCAAAAGUUUAUACAAAUAGAAUAUGAACUCGUAAUAUAUACCAAGCUCAAAAUGUUUAAUAAUGCACCAAGGAAUUUAGACUUCACACACAACUGCAAUCGUCUUCAUACCCAUUAAGACUUGGUGAUUUGCAUCACACGAGUCCCUCCAAGAACCCCUUCAGAUUUUUGCCUUCUUUUUCAUUUCCUAAACAACCAUCCACUUUCUUUCCUAUCAUAGAUUCUUCACCCAUUUGAUUUUGAUAGUACUCCAUCGUUUAAUUCACUUCAAAUGCUUCUUCAGUAACUUGUCCUUGCACUCCUUUUCCCGUUUUGGCCAUCAUAAGAGUCAUGCCAAGGCCCAAGAGCUUUGACCAGGGGGGAACCCUAGAUGAUAAACCUGUUGCAGGCCUAGUUGGAGACCAAGAAAUCAAGGUGAAACCUAAACAAAAGGCGUGUGAACCAAUAAUAGAAAAUUGAUUUUUAUAUGUACACUCGUUUCUAUGAUCAGGAAUUUGGAAGAAUAUUUCUUGUUCGCAUGUAGGUUAAAAAAUGAGUAGGUAAUUCUGCGAGAAGGGCUUGAACGACAGAGAUCUCUCCACCUGUAAAUUAAGGAGAAGUUAGCUCCCUGACUACAAAAGAUUUGCUGAACGCCUGUCUAGAUACACUUUUUAUUUUCUAUUUUUGAAACCAAAAAAUAGUAAUAACUUGCAUAUAAAAUAAAAAUACUCCUCAAAGCCUAUAUUAAAAAGGUAAUAGCUUGUAAAAACUGUGAUAAAAUAUUUAGGUAUUAUAAAAAUUUUAUUCCCCUAAAUUUAUUACCAUUCUAUGUUCUUAAAGAUAAAAAACAAAAAGUAUACUCGAUCGAAACUUUAGUUUUCAUGCACACAGAUAAAGUGCUGGAGUGAUACUUACUGUGCACAUCACGAAAUGGAACAAACUGGACUAUAUCGCGCGAUGCAACACGUCCAUUUGAACUUUCCAGUCUCUCUCCUUUAUCUGCAUCUAAGACCUGAAGAAGUAGAAAACAACCGAAAUGACAGGGAAGUGGAAAUACAUACAUGAGAGUUCCAAGGCUUCUAGUAGAGUUAAGACAAUUCUAGGAAAGCAUAUAAUGUGAAUGAGAUACCUCCAUCUCCUUAAAGUCAGCUCCUCCAACUCCAAGAAUAAAAAUUGACAAUGGCAAGUCAGAUGCCUUCACAAGGGCAUCUUUGGUUUCUUGGAGAUCAGUUAUCACUCCAUCCUGAGACAGUUUUAGUAAAAAUUUAGAGGAAUGCAUUAACGAGCCUCAAGAAAAUGAGGAAACUAAGGUCAGAUUAUGAUAAAUCAUUUGAAAAAACGGCAAUUUAAUUCCAUGAUAAAGUUAACUGAUUAAUUUUCAUGUUAACCAUAGCAAAAAUUAUAAUAUCAAUCCAGAGAAAUUAUAUUAGAUUCUAAAGUUCAUUUCUUACUGUGAUUAUUAACAAAACAUAGUAUUUUUGUCGACCAUUUAUAAGUGACUGGCUGGCAAUCUGCGCAGCACUGCUAAUCACAGGUCCAAAAAGGGUCGGCCCUGCAAGAGAAACAUUAAAGAGAGCACUUGUAUACGCCAUCAUAAUUCCUUGAAUUCCAUCAACCUGUGAGAAUAGAAUAACAUACAGGCUUAACACAAAUUUUCUGAAUAGAAAUAGGAUUAUCUAAGGCAAUCAGAGCAAGUAAUGUUUUGCAAAAUAUUCCACCUCACAGUAAUUACUGCUUCCGUUCAAAUUGAAACAAUGAGAGACAGGACCAUCAAUUGGCCGUGCUCCAAAACCCCAGGCAGGAAAGCGCUUGUCUGAAUCAUAAAACUGUAACACUUCUCCAACCUCUAAUAUUGCCUGAAAAAUAAUGACCAUGGUUGAAUAGGUCUAUUGACAGAAGACAGUUAUAAGAAUUAAAAUUGUGAGACUUGUUUCUCACUCUCUGAUAUGCAUUUGGCCGGCCUGAGGGGUCAAUAUAAUGCAAGGAAUCAGGGAGGCGAGGAUUUCCAUUUGAAGCUGAUAAACAGGAUUGACAAUGAAAGCAUAAGAUAUAUUGCCAACAAUAAUAUAGAUCCAUAUCAAAUAUGUCCUACAUGAUUCCAUGUCAAUGUACCUUUAUUAAAGAGUACAGAAAAUGAGGAAAAAUGAAACUAAAAAAAUAGUUAAAAUUGAUGAUGACUACAGUGCAAAGAUGAUAUGUACCUCAAAAUAGGGGGCAAUCAUUAAAGUUUUACUCUUCUUUCAUAAAUUCAAAGUAUUUAAUGGAAGAUCAGUAGAGAGAAAUCCAAAACAUUAUCGUAGACCAAUGAGAAAAGAGGGCAAAUCUUGCAGUCACAUUAUACGACCAUGACCAACACAAAACUUGCAGUUACACUUUAUGAACAUGAAAUUGUUCAUAAGAAGACAAGAUUGAGGAGAACAUUGCUCAUGGAAUAAGGAACUAAAUCACGACCUUUAAAAUUGAGCCUAGGCAAUGUUUUAAAGGCUAAAGAUGGUCACGAGGCAUUUUGUCCAAAUGAAGUGAGGUGUUAACCUCAAGGAGGCAAAAGGAGACUUUUUUUUUUUUUGAUAAGUGAGAGUAAUGUAUUACGAAAAAGACGCUAAAAUAGCGACUUAAAAUGUACAAGAAAAGGGAGACUCACCCCCUUACAACUGAAACAAAAACUGACCAGACAAGAUGUACAAAAAACAACUCCUCCCUCAUCGGGACCCUACCCAAUCAAUGAAAUCAAUUAGUGUCAAAGGACCAUAUUUUAUAAACAAUUUAGACUCUGACCAAAGCAAAUAUACAAAAAAAGCUUUCAGCUUUUGCAAGGAUAGCACACCAUCAUCAAAGACAAUCUUAUUUCUUGUCUUCCAAACUGACCAAAACAAGCAUAAAGGGCCCGUAUUCCAAACUGCCCUACACUUCUUACCCACAAAAGCCCCUUUCCACCUCAAGAGGGUUUCCCUAACCGAGGAAGGAAACACCCAAUGCACUCCAAGCAGAGUAAAGAAUAGCUUCCACACUUCCCUUGUUUUUUCACAAUGAAGAAGAAGACGGUCAAUGGACUCUCAUGCGCUUGGCACAAAUAACAUCUAUUUGCUAAGACCCACCCCCUCUUCUGAACUUGGUCCACAGUUUUCAUUGGGAAGAACCCUGUUGAAUCUGACUCUAAGGCUUUGUAAAGAGCCUUUACCGAAAACGUGUCAUCCUUUGAUUCCCCUCACCUCACCCUAUCCUCCACAUCCACAAUUACAUUCUUCCCACUUAAACACAAUAACAGGUUUUCCACUUCAUUCAUUUCCCAAUCAUUCCCCUCCCCCCUCCCCUUCUUUCUCUCACUUUCUAAAGCAGUCCAAACAUCUUCCACCAAGGCCUCUUUGGAGGUGGCUAUGGCAAAUAAGGCGGGAAAAGAAUAGCAUAAAGGUGCAGCUUCACACCACUUAUCCUUCCAAAAACUCACUCUUUGCCCAUUUCCCACCAUAAAAGAAAAUCUAGAGCUAACAAGGUGCCCCAACUUCCUAAUUUCUUUCCACAGACCUACACCAUACCCCUCCCUAACUUCUUGAGAACAUCAACCUCCACGUUCCUCUCUAUAUUUCCCCCUUAUUACUUGAUUCCAAAAAACCUCUUUUUCAUUUGUAUAACGCCAACUCCAUUUGCCAAGGAGAGCCUUAUUGAGCAAGGCAAAGUUCUUCAUCCUCAUGCCCCAUUUUCUCGUCUAAAGAGACUGUCGACCAUCUAACCAAAUGAGGUUUUUUCUCCAAGGCCAUACCUCCCAAUAGAAAAUCCCUCUGAAUCUGCUCCAAUCUCACUCUAACCACUCCAGGCAGAUGAAGGAUAGACAUAUAAUAAAUUGGCAAAUUGGAAAGCGUGCUUCGUAUCAUGGUGAUUCUCCCUCCCUUGGAGAUAUAUUGACGCUUCCACAUAGCCAAUCUCUUAUGGAACCUUUCCUCAAUACCAUCCCAAGCUGCCACAAAAUUAAAGCAAGCACCCAAUGGCAUCCCCAAAUAAGUAGACGACAAGCUUCCCACCUUACAUCCGAGUUCCGCAGCCAAGUCUUCCAUGUUUUCCACCCUUCCCACUGGGAUUAGCUCACUUUUAUCCAUAUUAACUCUCAAACCAGAGAUUGCCUCAAACCGCAUCCAGCAACCACCGCAAAAACAUCAUUUGCUCCUCCCACGCCAAGGAGGCAAAAGGAGACAUAAGCCUUAACUUAAAUAAAUAAAUAAUAAAAAAUUCCCAAAAUAAAAAAUAAAAGAAUACUAAUAAAGUCACAAGAAAAUUGAAUAAGACAAAAGGAAUAAACUUCAUUACAAUAAAAUAAAUUAUUUGUUAUAAUUAAUAGUUUCUAAUUUAGUACAUUUUUCUCUCUUCUAAAAUUUAGCCCUCUCAUGGCUUCAUCAAAUAAUUUUCAGCAUUAGUCAUUAUCACUAAUAGGAUCCUUCAAGAAAUAUAAUCAUAACCAAUUGAUAUAUUAUUCUCCCUAUUGGUGUUAAUAUCAACCCAUUCUUCUUCUUCAUCCAUUAAUUUAAAUCACAUUUUUCUUUACCUAUCAAUAAUAAGAUAAUAAUUAUAUAUGAGCUUAGUCAUUCGAACCGCAAAAAUUUCGUUGUUCCUUCUCAUUAAUCUCACUUUUUCUCCCCCAUUUAAAGGGUUAAUUGGAAGUCAACUAAGCCCUUAUUUUAUAAAAGGUUUAACCUAAACCAACGCUAAAUACAAAACUUAUCAAAUCUAUACCAAAAACACAUAAAAGCAUAGAACUCAUUAAAACUCAUUGAAUAUCAAGGUUUAAACCUCUUAUGAAAUAUAUCCUAAAAGCCCACAAAGGUCGAAAUCCCAUUAAAACCCUUUGGAUAUUUGAGGCUUAAGCCUCGAACUUCAAUGACCAUAAAUGAGGCUAUAGCCUCAAGGCUAAGUCUCAAUAGCCUUUUAAAACAUUGAGCCUAGGCUUCAUCCCUAAGCUCAAGGCCCAACCCAAAGAGGUUCAAUACUCACACUAAAAUCUUUCUCAAAAUCCCAACUUGAGCCUGUGACAACAUGGCAUAGUGCUAUGAUGAUUCAGUGUAUUAUUUAAUUGACAUGUGCAUACCAACUAAAAGUGAUACAGGACAACCAUAGUAAAGUCCUUAUGGUUGAGAGAUCAUGAAAUAAAUGAUAAUAAAAUCAGAUUAGUUGAAAUAAGGAUAUUAAUAUGAUGAGCAACACGAGAAUAUUAGAAGAAUCGUAAAAAUGAAUAAAUUUGUGAAAGAAUAGAGGGGGCAAGAAGAAAAGAACAGCUGAGGUCAUGUGGCUAAGUGCAAUGAAAAGUGAAGAUCAACUGUUGUGGCAAUAGGGUUGUUGGGAUCCAAUAAUUAUUCUUGAUUUCAUGGAGUUUAUUUAAUUUAUUCUUGAUUUUGUGUAUAUUUUCUGCAUAUUUAGAUUAGGUUUUUUUUUAUAUAUAGGUAAGUGCAAAUUGUAUAAAAACGCCAAAAGGGGCACACCAAAGUACACAAGGUGUAUACAACGGCCGCUUAAUAGCGCCAAAAAGGAUAGGGAAAACAAAAAUACUCUCUCCCUCAAUCUGUCCCCAACCAACCAAUAAAAUCAACUAAGGACAUAAAAGUAUGUUUUAUAAACAAGUUUGUACAAGAUAAUAAGUUGCACAAAAACACGAACUUCAGCCUUUGAACAAAAAGUUUCAUAUUCUCAAAAGAUCUUUUAUUUUUCUCCUUCCAAAUUGUCCAAAAAAGGCACAAAGGCACUGCUCUCCACACUUUCAUCCUCUUUCUUCCAAUGAACAAACCAAACCACCCUAAAAAGGUCUCUCAAGCAGAAGCAUGAAUCACCCAACUCACCCUGAACAAAGAGAACAAAAGCUCCCACAACAACCUUGCCUAUUCACAAUGCAAGAGUAUAUGGUCAAUUGACUUCUCAUGAGCAUAACAAAGGAAGCAUCUAUUGGCUAAAGACCACCCUCUCCUUUGCAAUCGGUCUAAAGUCAAAACUUUUCCCCAUGUUGCCUCCCAAGAAAAAAAACGAACCUUAGGAGGAACCCAAGCAUUCCACACAAUACUAGUUGGGAAGGGGUCUACCCUUACUUCCUCAAGAAUAGAGGGACUUAAGAGAAAAGGGAUCCACUCUUUGUAACCUCCCAAAACACCUCAUCCUCUCUUUCCUCAACCACCACUUUGUCUUGAGUCCUUGAUAAAAAGCAUUCCAUCAUCCCAAUCUCCUAGUCAUUGAGAGGUCUAGAGAAGUUUGGGUUCCAACCACCCUCCUUAGAAGAGUGCACCCACAAAUCCGCCACCCAAGCCUCUUUUGAACUAGUUAGAGUGAACAAGGAGGGAAAGGACACACAUAAAGGCUCAUCCCCGCACCGUCUAUCUCUCCAAAAUGACCCUUCUCCCAUUGCCCACUAUGAAGAGAGUUCUGGAAGAGACUAACUCCCACAGUAGCCUUAUAGCCUUCCAUAGACCAACACCAUAGCUGCCCCUCACUUCCUUAGAGCACCAACCCCCUUCCAAUUCCCCAAAUUUACCACAAAUAACUUCUCACCAAAGGGCAUCCCUUUCCUUAGCAAACCGCUAAAUCCAUUUGCAAAGGAGAGUUUUAUUUAGAGAGUUAAGAUGUCUAACUUCAAGGCCUCCUUUUCUUUUGUCUAAACAAACAAUAUCCCACUUCACUAAAUGAGGCUUAUUCUCUAGAUUAGUUGACUAUGUAAAUUAGGGAAAUUGUAAUUUAGAGGAUUUCUAGGAGGAUUUUUAGGAAUGGGUCAGUUGUUUUAUUCUAUUUCCAUUUAUUGUACAAGUUUGAAAGUUGUAAAUUUAUAUUUGUACUAUUUUUUCGAAGAAAGAAGAAGACAAUUUUAUUUUCCAACAUGGUAUCAGAGCUAAAAAAAGGUUUUUGGUAGUUUUUUCUUCUUCUUGGCCUUCAUUGCCAAGCCUUGCCUAUCAUAUUCGCAACCUUCAAUUGCCAUCAUUGCAAUAAGCCAAGAUACACUAGAGAGACGUGCUGGAAAUUGCAUGGAAAGCCACAAUCAAGGGCUAAGGACAACCACAAGGGUAACACACAAUUUAGAAACAACAAAGGCACUAGGUUCAACAUCAACCUCAAAGAGUCUCUCUUUCACAAAAAAACAACUAGAUCUCUUGUAUAAGAUUAUGGGAAAAUCUAAGGUUUCCUCUUCCUCCACUUCUUGUGCUUUUGCACAAUCAAGUACUUUUAAAACAACCCUUAGUACUUCUACUAUUCUUCAUUCUAAAACUUGGAUUAUUGAUUCAGAGGCAACUAAUCACAUGACUAAAGACUAAUGUUUUUCUAUCCUACAUUCCAUGUUCUAGUAACCAAAAAGUACAGGUUACUAAUGGAUCUUUGACUCCUAUUAGUGGUAAAAGCAAUGUUUCAGUCACUCCCAACAUCACUCUUUCAUCUGUUUUGCAUGUCCCAAAUAUGUCUUGUAACUUAUCGUCUAUCAGUAAAUUAACAAAAUCUCAAAAUUGUUCUGUAACUUUCUUUUCCACUGAUUGUAUGUUUCAAGACCUAACUACGGGAAAGGUGAUUGGUAGUGCUAAAGAGAGAGAGGGUCUCUAUUACUUGGUUACUGAGAAGCAAGAAAAAAUUCAAGCUCAUCAAAUAAAAGAAAAUACAAAAAAAAGAGAACUUUGGUUAAUGCAUGAAAGAUUAAGGCAUCCAAGUUUUUUCUCUUUGAAAACUUUGUACCCUAAAUUGUGUGUCAACCUGGAUCCUUCUAAAUUCCAAUGCGAAGUUUGCAAGUUAUCAAAAAACGACCAUAUUUCUUAUCCUUUGGGUAGUAAAAGAAGUGAAAUUCUUUUUUCUCUCAUCCACACUAAUGUUUGGGGUCCUUCACAAGUUUCUUGACAUUCAAGAGCAAAAUGGUUCAUAAGUUUUAUUGAUGACGGUAUUUGAACCACAUGGAUCUAUCUCCUAAAAGAAAAAUCUGAUACCAUUCUCACCCUUAAUCAAAUGAUCUAAACCUAGUUUAAUGCAAAAUUGCAAGUUGUGAGGUCAAACAAUGGAGGGGAGUAUUUAAACCAAAUCCUCGGAAAUUAUUUAUUGAAGAAUGGGAUUUUUUAUUUUUUAUUUUUGAUAGGUAUUUCUUGAAGAAUGGGAUUAUUCAUCAAACCUCUUGUGUAGGUACUCCUCAACAAAAUGUGGUAGCCGAAAGGAAGAAUAGACAUAUGUUGGAAGUAGCUAGAACCUUAAUGUUUGCUAGAAAUGUUCCUAAGUUUUUUUGGGGAAAUGCGGUGCUCACAGCUGCCUACCUUAUUAAUAGGACGCCCACAAAAAGCCUAAACUCCAAGACUCCAAUAGACAUCCUAAAACAACACCUACCUCACAUAAAUUGCCUUGACUCCCUUCCACCCAAAGUCUUUGGUUGUACUUUAUUUGUCCAUAUCCCAAACAAAAAUAGAUCCAAACUUAGAUCAGUUGACUAUGUAAAUUAGGGAAGUUGUGAUUUAGAGGAUUUCUAGGAGGAUUUUUAGGAAUGGGUCAGCUGUCUUAUUCUAUUUUCAUUUAUUGUACAAGUUUGAAAGUUGUACAUACAUUUAUACUAAUUUUUCAAAAAAAGAAGAAGAAGAUUUUAUUUUCCAACAAGGGUGAACAAGAAAUGGUCACCUAUGAUAAAUGGAAGAUAUGGCCCCAGCUAGAGGAUAAUGACAGAAAAUUAUUCACAUAAUCAACUGUAAUUAAUCAGGACAAGACUUUGUGAAUGGAGAAUUUUCAGAAUAUGCUGGCAUCAGUCAAGCUAGGGGGAAGGAUACCAUCCAUACAUAGUAAUACCCAAUAACUCAAAUCGCCAAGCUAAAAAAGGCAUUGUUCUGCAUUGCAAAUUUGCAGUUCCUAAAGUUUAGUACCUAAUGCAUAGGAAGUUAUUCUGAUCCACACUGAGAACACCCAGAUAUGGUGACAUAAGUCAAUCAGCUCAGUCACAGCGAUAAAUUCUAAGGGGAAGAAUUGCGUACAUGAGUACCUGUGAAAUCAAUAGCCACCAUGAAGUUCAGUUCACAUCCACCAGCCAAGUAAUCCAGAAAAGUGUGUUCGACAGUCUCAGAAAAGUACUCCACAAAUAACUGACUCUUUAACACCUGUGACAAGUUCUAGAGCUUGAUAAAUGUAAACAUUGCUAAAAUCAAGAUAGAAAUACAACUAGUCAAAUAGUUCAUACCUUGUUGUGGUGAUUGUUUCCAACAGCAGUUGGUAAAAAAAAAUUCUCUCCCUGCCCACUAGAAUGGAGCUUUUCCAAGUCUGCAAGCGAUUUUUGAAUUUUCCUGACUCAUCCACAAUAAAGAAGAAAAAAGGAACAAGAAAAAUCAGUAUUCCAAUCUCUAGAGAUCAGGAGAUACGAAGGCAAAAGGAAGGUCUCCACUUACCCAAUUAAAUCAUGUUUUCCAUUGCUAUUGAAGUUAAAGCACUCUAUUGUUAACAGAUUGUCCUGCACGAUCAUUUAAUGAAAAAAAUAAUGAGAGAACUAGAAAUAGAUAGAUGAGGAAUCCUGGCAUCUUCUACUCAAAGAUCCCUCAUCCAUGAUUAAUGAUGUAUUCCACAUUCAUGAAACAAAUGAUUGUCAAUCUGGUGUAAUGAAUGUAUAUCAUUACAGAUAACCCCAUAAAGCACUAAUUCAACAGCUGUGACCAUCUGAUUUCAGAGAUAGACAGAGAUGUGCCAUGUGACUGCCAAGAAUAAAUACCCAGAUAGAAUAAGUUACAUGUGUCACAGUAUUAGAAAGGUAAUGUCAUCCUAUUUGGGUAUAUUAGCCAUCAAUAUCCAAGAAGCAACCUAAAUGAGUAAAUUUCGAUUGUCCAUGUAUCAAUUAAACAAAGCAUCCUAGGAUAGUGUAAAAGCUACAACACAGAAUGCUGGAUUUCCACUAUUUAACACAUUCUAACUCCCAGAGGAAGGGGGCUUCUACCUUGCUUCCAACUUGUUGAAUGUUCAGAAAUACUGAUUUCCAUUUUGGUUUGAGAUCAUUCUUUAUGACUUCUGUCUUGCAAAUUGGGAUAGAGAUCCCACCCUCGACAAUCUUUGAUAUUACUAGAAAGGGGUCCUGCAAGAUAUCCCAGAACAUAUACCAACUCAUAAAUAGCAUUCCUCAUAAUACUGAGCAAAGAGAAGAAAAUAGCAAAGAGAAAGAGAAUAAUGAUCCAACAGGUCCAUACACUUCUUGAGAAGAGAUCCUUAUAUUCCAAAUCUGAACACCUGAAUAUUAUCUCCAUUGCGAUCUUUGAACUACUCAAUUCCUCAGCAUGAACAGUAAGCUCUCCUAAGUUUUGUGAACGGGUUGAUUUGAUAGAUUCUUCUCUAUGUACAAGAUCUAAGGUCAAAGACCUGUUUGACUUGGAAACUAUCUGCACAGAACAUAAAAAAAGAGGAAAAAGAAUGUUUCUGGGUAAAUUAAUUACAGUUUAACUCCCAAUAAAAUGUAUUCAACUGCACAGCAGUGGUGAAGGCCUCUUGGCCUACAAUUGAUUUAUUUAUCCUGGUUUCUUAACAUGCAGAGGAUGUGAGAGCAGUAAGAUAUAAUCAGGUUAUCACACCUAAGAGAUCAAAAACUUCUAUUACAUGGUAAAUCAUCCUCAUUGGCCCAGAAAAUGCAAGAUACAAUACCACGAAUGGAGCAUCAUUAAAAGAAAAUCCCAACUAGAAGAUUUAAUAUCACAGUUAGUAAUAUGUUGAGGCUAAUAGCCUUAGAUUAGAACUCUACUGGUCAUGCAAUAUCAUUUUAACACAGUGAUUCUGUAUAGCCCAGAUAGAUUUGGCAAGUCCAUCAUAUGAACAGUUGAAAAACCAGAGCCAUGAUAGUGCUUCAAGCCCAACAGAUCUGCUCUGAGCCAUCUUAGAGUUAUUGCUUUAAGCCUUAACACACACACACAGAUAACAUGGAGGUUCUCAUUGUCUGAUGAUUCAACUAAUAAAGGACAUUAUGAAUUUGAAUGACAGGUAAGCCAUACCUCAGACAAUGAACAAGUAGCCUCACCAAGAAACUGCUGCUCAUCCAGCUUAAGCAUCUGCAUUAGUUAAAAGCAUCCGUUAUUUAUUGGAUCUUUUAUGCAUGCAUGUGCUUGAUAAGAGUAACAAGCUACUUGGCAAAUAGUUUGCAAUACUGUCUGCAACCUUUUUCAACAUUUGGAAACCAUAUUUAUAAGUAUCCAGAUCACAGGUAAAUAUGAAUGUCUGCGUCUGGAAAGCACCCAGUCACCACACAUAUCCUACCUAAAAAGUAGAAAAAGCUCAAAGCAUGGAAAACAGCAGAAUAAGAAUUGCCCCCAUAGUUUGUAUGCUUAAUUGAUGAUCAUGGCAAUAUUUCUAUCUCUUACUAGUGGAGUGUGUAAUCAUGAAAUAAGAGACAUGGAGUCGCUUCUCAAUCAAAUCUCUGGGUCAUUGUAGAAUUGACCAUUUAUCAAAUUGUAUGUACAAUCCUCUGAAUGAACAAUUCCAAUUUUAUUUUCAUGGUCCAUGCCAAAUUUAUUCUAGCAUGGAUCUUAAACAACAUUUUAGGAAAUAAUGGAUGGAUUACUCAAAGAAUGAUAGAAGAAAAGAAUUUUUUACGGGAUGAUAUUUAAAUGGCCAUGUAGGAAAAAAAUAGUUGAGAUCCAGAGUGAGAAUGGGGCUAUUGAAUUUGGAAAAGGGAUGAGGGAUAACAUUUUAAAUAGCCAAGCAAAAUAAUCAAACUGGAGGGUAGAACAAUCAAUACAUGAAGAUUGUAAAGUUAGAGAGCUUGAUGAAAUAAUGCAGAUUUUUUGUAUUAGAUGUAUGCAUUUUGAGAUGAAAGAGAAAUAACAGAGAAUGAGAUAGUAGAACUUAGAAGGAGACAAACCACUAAAUUUAACAUAAGAAUUUUAAAAAAAAAAUUGAAAUUUGGACAAAGAAACAUAAUGACGGAAGAAAAUCAUAUUAAGGAGCUUAAUAUGAGUGCAUGAGGAAACAGCAGAAUUUUUGUACCUUUGAGAAAAUUAUUCAUGUCAUUUAUAAAGUAUCUUACUAAUGGAUUUGACAAUUGUUACUAGAUUAUUAAGUAAAAGUUCAAUAAUAGAAAUGCAGUGAGAAUGAUUUCAUGCUCUGCAGUAAAAUAAAUCCAAGAAGACACAGCAACAUUAGAACAUACCUUUACAUCUACAUUGUGAAACUGAGUGUCAACAUCAUACACCCGAAACCUGUGAUGAAGGUAAUUUCUCAAGGGACAUUAUAUUGAAACCGAUAAAUUGGGUGGCAAAAAUACAGAUGGAAGUACUGAAACUUACACCAAGGUCUGCACAACUUCAAACUGAUAAUUAAUAAUAAGUUUCGUGAACCACAUGGGAUUCAAUGAAUUCAACACCACUUCAGUACGGCCCAGCUCUUCAAGAGCUCCAUCUUUUGAUUUUGUAUAGACAACUGCCAUGGGGUCACUCUGAAAACAAUAAAAAAUUAUGAGAUAGCAGCCUAGCCUUUUUGCAGAAAAUGUAAAAUUUUUUUUUUUUUUUGAUAAGUAAACAAGAUAUGCAUUAGAAAGGCUAAAUGCCACAAAGCAUACAGGGAGUAUACAAGACGGCUACAGCCUCAAAAAGAGAAAAAGGACCAAAAAGAACUACCUCCCCUCAAGUGGAAGCUAUCCACUCCAAGAAACCUAUAAGGGAGAAAGACUCCUCACCUAAAUACACUUUGGCCCAAUUCCAUAAAUUACAAACAAAAGAAUUCUUUAAUCUCUAAACAUUCACCGCACCCCCCCUAAAGGCUAACUUAUUCCUCUCCUUCCAGACCGUCCAAAAAAUACACAACGGAAUGGAUUUCCAAAUCUGUUUCCUUUUCUUCCCUACAAAUGAACCCCUCCAGGAGGUUAAGGCCUCCUUAACUGUUUCUGGGAGGACCCACUUAAUAUCUAUCAACCCAAAAAUAAUAUCCCAAAGGGCUCUAGUCACUAUACAGUGUAAAAGAAUAUGAUUUACAUUCUCUUCUUCACAACCACACAAAAAACAACAAUUUGGGAGUUGCACCCCUCUUAUCUGGAGUCUAUCCAGAGUGAGCACCUUCCCCCAUGUAGCCUCCCAAGCAAAAAAACAGACUUUAGUUGGCACCUUAUCCACCCAUAUUCUCCUUGCGGGAAACACUGUGGCAUUAGGCUUGUCCAACAUCCUGUAAGCUUCUUUAACCCUGAAGAGACCAUUUCUUCCUUGCCUCCAUUUAACUAAGUCAUCCUCCAGGGAAGGCCUAUGACCCCUCAAAGUAUGGAGCAAAUCACCAACCAUAUCCAACUCCCAAUCAUUGAAGUCCCUCACAAAAACAAGAUUCCAAUCUCCUUGGCCCGAAUGUUGGUCCCACAUCUCCUCAAUCGUGGCGUCUCUAUGCACGGCAAGGACAAAAAAGUGGUUGAAACAUUGGGACAACGGAGUAUCAGUGCACCAACUAUCUUUCCAAAAUUUAAUUUUGGAACCCUUCCCAACUAGAAAAACCCAAUUUUCCCAGCACCAUUCAGAUUCUUUCAUAAUCUCCUUCCAGACCCCAACUCCAGCCGCCCCACUAGCCUUCUUAGCCCUCCAACCGUGUUCCUCUUGCCCAUAUUUCGUAGAAAUCACUUGUUUCCAAAGGUUAUCCUUUUCACACGCAAACCUCCAAGUCCACUUGCCCAACAAGGCUCUAUUCAGAGUGGCUAUUCUCCUUAAUCCUAGCCCUCCAUUGAGUUUUUCUGUGCAGACCACAUCCCAUUUAACUAGAUGAAUUUUUCCCUCCAAGUUUCCACCCCCCCAUAGGAAAUCUCUUUGGGUAUUCUCCACUCUUUUAGCAACGGACUUAGGCAUACGGAAGAUAAACAUUUGGUAAAUUGGCAUACUAGCCAAGGUACUUUUUAUAAGAGUGAUCCGCCCCCCUUUGGAAAUGUACUGUCUUUUCCAAAGCGCAAGUCUCCUCCUGACCCUCCCUUCCACUCCAUCCCACAUAGAAGAAGCCCUAUUGAGGACCCCUAAAGGGAGACCCAAAUAUUGGGAGGGCAAAGACCCCACCCUGCACCCUAGCUCAGCUGCCAACUCAAGAAUCUCCUCCACUUCUCCAACUGGAAUGAUUUCGCUUUUGGCUAGGUUCAUUCGAAGACCCGAAACCGCUUCAAACCAAAAGAGAAUCCAGCUUAGAUGAGAGACUUGUUCUUUGCUCGCCUCACAAAACACAAUUAUGUCAUCAGCAAAAAAUAGGUGGGAGAUAUUCAAUGAAGUUCUACUACCACCCCAAAUGUUGCAUCCUGAAAGAUAUCCUCCCUCCACCGCUCUCCUGAUGAGAACGUCCAGAAUCUCCAUUCCCAUAACAAAGAGGUAAGGGGAUAGAGGAUCCCCUUGACGAAGCCCUCUAGUGCUAGGGAAAAACCCAACUGGCACUCCAUUAACAAGAAUAGAGAAUUUUGCAGAAGACACACAGCUCCACAUCCAUCCCACCCACUUGUUCCCAAAGCCCAUUUUUUGAAGGACCUUCAUUAAAAAAUUCCAAUUAAUGCUGUCAUAAGCUUUUUCUAUAUCCAAUUUGCAAAUAAGGCCCUUUUCUUUUCUCUUCUGCCACGAAUCUAUCACCUCAUUAGCAAUUAAGGACGCAUCCAGAAUUUGUCUUCCCAUUACAAAGGCAUUUUGAGCACUAGAGACCACCUUACCAAUCACUUUUUUGAGCCUAUUAGCUAAGACUUUAGCCAAAAGUUUAUAGAGACCCCCCAACAGACUGAUAGGUCUAAAGUCUCCCAGAUCCUCCGCCCCGCUUUUCUUAGGUAUCAACACCAAAAAAGUAUUGUUGAGGCUCCUAACAAAGGAAUUAUGCUCAUGAAAUUCUUUAAACAUCUCCAUGAUCUCCUCUUUGGUAAAGUCCCAUGCGUUUUGCCAGAAGGCUACAUUAAAACCAUCCGGGCCAGGGGCUUUAUAUCCCCAUUCAUCUCCAUCAACGCCGAGUGAAUCUCAAUCUCUGCAAAUGGGACUUCUAGACUCUCUGCUUCUUGCUGGCUGAUACAACCCACCUGAAUAUUACCAAUAUCUGCCUGCCAAACCAUAUCUUCAGAAAGCAUCUGCUGAAACGAAUUCACAACUCCUUCUCUCACCUCCUGCUCCUCUACCAGCCACUCCUCAUUAACCUUAAUUCUGCCCAUAGCGUUGUUUCUCCGAUGAGCACUUGCCAUUCUAUGGAAGAACCCCGUGUUUCUAUCCCCCUCCCUUAGCCAAAUCUCCCUUGAAUGUUGUCUCCAAUGGGCUUCCUCCAACAGGACCCAUUUCUUAAAGGAGUCUUUAGCUUCCUUUUUUAAAUCAGCUUCCUCCACAGUCAAAUUUCUCUCACUUUCCACCCGAUCCCAAAAGUCUAUUUGUUCUAGGGCUAAAGCUUUAUUGGUUUCCAACCUCCCAAAAACCUCUUUGUUCCAAACUUUCAAUUUCUUCUUAAUUUCCUUCAUUUUAAUAACCAAUCUGUAGCUAGCGCUGCCCCUGACAUCAAUCCCCUGCCACCAUGUUCUCACAACGUCUUGAAACCCCUCAACCUUCAACCACAUAUUUUCGAAUCUAAACGGGGUUGGGCCUCUUCUAAUUCCACCCCCCUCUAACACGAUUGGGAAGUGAUCAAAAAUUGGCCGAGACAACCUGAUCUGAGUGACUCCACUAAACAGAUCUAGCCAGCUAGGGGAAACUAAAAAUCUGUCUAGUCUCGCCCACGCCUGAUUGUUGAGCCCCCCAUUCCAAGUGAACUUUCCCCCCUGAAGAGGCAUGUCCACCAGCUCUAAAUCAUCCACAGUCUCUGCAAAUCUCCUCAUGGCUGAACUGAUUCUUCUUUGGCUGCUCCUUUCUUGUUGGAACAGAAUGAUAUUGAAAUCCCCACCAAGACACCAGGGAUCAUCCCAAAGGCCUCUUAUUGCCCCAAAUUCCUCCCACAUACCCUCCCUUUCCAUUUUAGUGAAAGGACCAUACACUCCCGUAAAAACCCAAGUAGCCCCAUUUUCUAUAGUCUUGAAUCUACAAGACAAUGUGAAAUGACCCUCCUCCCAAUCCAAAAUAUCCAAGACCCUCUUGUCCCAGCAUAUCAAAAUGCCACCCGCAGCCCCCUCCGCAUUUAGAGCUCUCCAAUCUAUAAAUCUCCCGGUGCCCAGGCUUCUCACAAUACCCUCCGACAUCUCCUGUAUCUUGGUUUCCUGAAUACACAUUAGAUCCACCCUCUGGCUCCUUAUAUAGUUCUUAAUAAUUUUCCUCUUAGAGCUAUCAUUAGCUCCCCUCACAUUCCAACUUAUAAUCUUCAGCUUCAUUGGGCAACUAUCAAUUGGUUCCCUUUGCCCUGUGAGGGAGCUUUCUGCUUAUUCCCCCCCUCGUAAUUGACAGAGCAUUCCAGCCUCUUUAGUUCCCUUUCAAACUUGGUCUUCUCCAAGAGUUCUUUGCUAUGAAUCUUUUCCCUCCUCUUUCUGAUUUUAGUCAAAAAAUUCAAUAUCUCCCUUUCUAUCCCCUCCGUAGAGAAGCCCAGAAAUUGGCUAAAUUUCGCUAAACUACACUCCUCCCAUAGUUCCUCUUUCUCAUUUUCAGUGACUUGAGAUCCUGANGCACCAGCAAUUCCCUCCUUNNNNNNNNNNNNNNNNNNNNNNNNNNNNNNNNNNNNNNNNNNNNNNNNNNNNNNNNNNNNNNNNNNNNNNNNNNNNNNNNNNNNNNNNNNNNNNNNNNNNCAUAGACUGUUAGCCAAGUUGACUUGUCCCCCCAUAAUUCCUCCUCUAGUCCCCCUGGGCGAUCGAAAGACUCCCCCUCCGGAGCCCGAUCAAAAUUAGAAGAGAGAGAAAGAGACGUCCCCAUAACCUGAAUUCCUUUAGGAUAGGAAUGCAGGGCAUACCUCUUAGCUUCUUCUUCAAGCGCUCGGUCAGUCAUGGAGAAGCCAUCAUCCCGCUGUUCCCUUCUGAUCUCCUCUGGCACCCAGCACGUCAAAGGAUCCUCUGGAGUGGGUCUUUUUCUGGAGAUAAAGCAGCCCAAGAAACCAGCCUUCUCCUGGGUAGCAUUUGGGCCAUCCCUUUCCAGUCCUUCCAUCACAACAGAAGAGUGGCAGCCCAAUUCAGCAGCCCAAUUACUAGACGAUGGACCUGCCUCUGACACACCAGCCACCUUUGUUUUAUCCUUUAACUUUCGGCCCAAAAACCCGUCUAUCUUAGCCAGCCCACCAUCCUUCUCUUGCUCUUUAAGGCCCAAAGUUAGACCAUGUGAGGACGACCCAGCCAUUUUUCCAUCCAAAUAGGCCCAUUCCCGGGACAUCGGGCCAUGGAUCUGGUUCCCGGGCUCUAAGCCCGGCCCAUUUUCCUGCAGCAACCUCCCAUCAUCUGGUAAGAGCAGUCCCUCGGUUCCCGUAUCUAUCAGUUCCUUCCCCACGCGCUUCUUCGCGCGUAAGUACAUGUCACCCCUGUCCUCGGUUCUCCUUCUGAUUUCCGCUACAGAGAAAAACCGUCUCACCACCGGCCUAAUCUCCCACCACAACGCCAAAGAGUAAACCUCCUCCUCUACCUCAAUUUCUAGCAUGCUCGGUCUAAAUUCGCCUCUUAUUUUGACCAGUAUCCUAGCCUAUUGAAUCUCCCCCAUCGACCUUGUCCGCUCGUCAAUUUCAACAAAUCCCCCACAUUCCUCCCCUAUUUUCUUCAGAAUCACCAGGCUCCAUAACGAGACUGGCAGACCGAAAAUUUUAACCCAUGCUUCCUGUACCAUCUCCUCCUCUACCCAACAGCCCGUCUUUGGCUUCCAGAAAUCCAACCCUAAGUGUACUCCUCCCAUCUCUCUGCUCCCCGAUGAAACCACACGGUGAGCCUCUCUUAUAUCUUCAAACUCCAACAAAGCCCUACCUCGUUCCAACUUGGCCAGCCCUAGUUUGCCUUUUAAGCCCCAAGAACUCGCCCAAAGAUUUCCCAGCCUCUCCAAAUCUUCAUCUUCCUUUUUGUUGGGCUUCCAGCUCGCGACGAGGCAGUGUUCCAGCUUCUGUAAGUUUCCAGCCAUCUCCUCCCUCGAGACCUUCAACUUGAUUGCAGUUGUGCCUUUCCAAUUUGAACCCAUAACUACUUCUGCGUAUGAUUUCACCGUAAUAGUUUUACCGCCGGCCCUUACUUCCUGCAACUCCAUUCUUCUGCCCGCCAGCUUUUCCAUUUGGCGAAUCAUUUCCGCCAUAGCCGUCCAUCCUCUUUUAUCCCUCCUACCUCUCGGUAAGAAGAUGCAGAAGUUUUUUCAUUCCAGAUCCACAACCCCCAGCCUUAAAAAGCCACCUGCUCUAUUGGAACCCCGCGCCAGAGUGAAUCGCUUACCUCUAUCGCUCCAUUCCAUUUCCCAUCUCCCUUCUUUUUCAUCUCAUAUACAAUGGAUUAGCCCCUCCUUGAAAAGCCCUAAGCUCUCCAGCCCUAAGCGAAUCCAUGUCGAGACCCCCCGCUUCUUUUCCACGAUGAGGAACUGACAUCUACCUUUCCUUCCAUCCAGGGCAAGCUCAAAAGUCUUGGAUUCCACCGUGAAGCUUCGCUUUCGACUCGCCUCGCCGGUCUCAUCGUCGUCUCCGUCGCACGUGCUUUCACUCUCCCUCACGCCCCCUCUCUCUCUCUCGCCCUCUCUCUCUCUCUCUCCCAUCGGACCUGGGUUAGUAGAAAAAUACAGAAAAUGUAAAAUUUAAAUAACCAAAAGGUGGAGAAUGUCUACAAAGUAACGCAUCAUGAAUAUCAGAAGCAUGGCAUCCAAAGACCACAACUACCAACAAAGUUUGGGAGAAAGAACUAAAAUUUUAAAACAGAAGCCAAAAUUAAAAUUAAAAUUAAAAAAAAAAAAACAAAAGAAAAAUUGACUAUGAGGGAAGGAAAAAGCAGAAAUGGGAGUUAAAGAGACUAGAGUGUUCAAUUAACUAUGAGGGAGGGAAAAAGCAGAAAUGCCCCUUGCAGGGCAGAGGGUGUCCUCUUUCGGAAGUCCAAUGAAGCUCAAAUUGUUUAGUUGGAAUGUGCGUGGAGCAAAUGACAGCUCCAAAAGGAAAAUAAUAAAGGCCAUUAUAAGAAACCAGAAGGUGGAUUUAUUUUGUCUUCAGGAGAAAAAAAUUCAUGCAAUAACCGAGGGUGUGGUGAGGAGUUUGGGCACUGGGAGAUUUUAGAAUGGGGGGCUUUGAAUGCUUCUGGCUCAGCUGGAGGAAUUUUGAUCCGUUGGGACAAAAGGACAUUGGAAAUUCUUGAUCUGGAGGUGGACCAAUUUUCAAUCUCUUGUAGGUUCAGGAAUGUGGAAGAUGGGUUUGUCAAGGUGUUCACGGGAGUUUAUGGUCUGUUCACUAGAGAGGAAAGGGAAUAUUUGUGGGAAGAGCUAGGGGCGAUUAGAGGAAGUUGGGAAGACCCCUGGUGUUUAGGGGGUGAUUUCAAUAUUAUUUUAUUUCAAAAGGAAAGGAGUAGGCAAAGGAGGUUGACAGCAGCAAUAAGAAGAUUUGCUCAGAUAAUUGAUGAGCUAGGGCUAGUUGACUUACCUUUGCAAGGAGGUUUGUUCACUUGGAACGGAGGUCAGAAUGAUCAGUCUUGGGCUAGAUUGGACAGAUUUCUCAUGACUCAAAAUUGGCUUGAUCAGUUCAGUGGAGUCCUUCAGAGCAAGCUGCCUAGGCCUAUCUCAGAUCACUUCCCUAUUUUGCUAGAGGGUGGUGGUUUAAGAAGAGGACCCUCCCCUUUCAGAUUUGAAAAUAUGUGGCUUAAAGUAGAAGGCUUCAAGGAUUUCCUACGGAGUUGGUGGCAGGGGACUGUUAUAAGAGGCAAUGUCAGUUUUAGGUUGGCUGCAAAGUUGAAGGAGCUAAAACAAAAAAUUAAAUCUUGGAAUAGGAUGUCUUUGGGAGGCUGGAAUGCAAUAAAAUUUCAGCUCUUCAACAAGUGGAGUUUUGGGACUGGGUGGAAAGUGAGAGGAACCUAUCAGAAGAGGAAACAGAGUUAAAAAAGGAAGCAAAGAAAAAUUAUAAAAAGUGGGUUUUUUUGGAAGAAGUUCAUUGGAGACAACUUUCAAGGGAGUUAUGGUUAAAAGAAGGGGAUAGGAAUAUAGGUUUUUUUCACCGUAUGGCAAAUGCCCACCGUAGAAAUAACUCCUUGGAUAAAAUUAAGAUAAAUGGGGUGUGAUUGACAGAGGAGCAAGACGUGAGGGAAGGGGUAGCUAACGCCUAUCAUCAAAUGUUAUUAGAAAAUUCAAAAUGGAAAGCUGAUAAUAAGAGGCUACAGCUAGAUCACCUAAGUCUUCAAGAAGCUGAGUUUUUGGAGCUUCCUUUCUCUGAGGAUGAAGUUCGCUCUGCUUUGGUGGAACUGAAUGGUGAUAAAACCCCAGGCCCGGAUGGCUUCACAGUGGCUUUUUGGCAAAACUGCUAGGACUUUGUGAAGGCGGAGGUCAUGGAAAUGUUUAAGGGUUUUCAUGAACAAAGCUCCUUUUUCAAGAGCUUUAAUACCACUUUUCUGGUGCUAAUCCCAAAGAAAGGAGGGGCUAAGGACCUUGGGGAUUUGAAUGGUUAAAAAUGAAAUUCUAGGGAUGUUAUGUAGAAAUCCAACUUUAGUGUAAUAAAAAAAUGAUAAUUCACUUUCAUCUUAUAACUAGUACCCACUAAUGGUACUACUAGAAUAGAGCUUUUGUACUGAUAAAAAUAGGAAUGCAUAUUUGGGCAAUAAAGUGAGAAGGUUGAAAAGGUAAAAUCAUCUUAUAGGUCUAGGAUGAAGUACAACAGUUAAAGUAGCAAGGAUGAUUGUUCUCUAGCUAAUAAUUUUUUUUUUAUAGGUAGAACGAGAGAAUAUAUUUUUUGAUAAGCAAGCACAUAUAUUAAAGAAGGCAAAAAAGCCGCAAAGCAUAUAGGGAGUAUACGAGGCGACUAUGGCCUCUCAACCAAAAAACAAAACAACCCAACCCCUAAUUGGAGGCUAACCACUCCAAGAAUCCUAUUAGGGAAUUCGACUCCAUAUCAAUGUACACUUUAGCCCAACCCCAAAUAUUAUACACAAACGAAAUUUUUAACUUCUAAAAUGCUAACCCCCCCCCUUUAAAAGCUAGUCUAUUCCUCUCCUUCCAUAUUGUCCAAAAAAUGUACAGCGGAAUGGACUUCCACAAUUUUUUCCCUUUUUUCCCCACAAAAGAGCCCUCCCAGCUACAAAGAACCUCCUUUACAGAUUCUGGAAAGACCCACUGCACACCACACAACACAAGAAUGAUAUCCCACAACCCUUUUACCACUGUACAAUGAAUUAAAAUAUGAUUGAUCGUUUCCUCUUCACACCCACACAAGAAGCAUCGGUUAAGGAAUUGCCACCCUCUUCUCUGCAGCCUAUCCAGAGUGAGGACCUUCCCCCAAGCAGCUUCCCAAGCAAAAAAAACAAUUUUGGUUGGAACUCUGUCCACCCAAACAUUGCU
rnacentral:lncRNA from 1 species